rnacentral:lncRNA from 1 species
GUGGCUUGCUAUUUCCAAGAAUGAAAUAAUAAAUGCCGGAGUUCUAAAACAAUACAAGUGCAAAAAUAAUCCAUUGCAAAUUCGUGAUGCUAUAAACAUAUCAAACCUUCUUGACCCAAGGGGCCCAACUGGUAGCGUUGAUUGCUUUGGUAGAUUUAUGGAGGCACCAUGCUGGUUUGUAGUGUCGGAUAAAUUGGUAGUGACACAACUAUCUUCUCCGUCAUCGAGUAUUAGCUUCCUAAAAGAACUAAAUGUACCUCUCAAUGAUAUUGAAGAGCAGGAAGAAACUAUAGGCGAGACUGAGGUAUAUUCUAGAGUCGGAUUUGUUUUGUUUCGUGUAAUAUUGGAGAUUGUAGAGCAAUUUCUUUCUCCUCUUCAUACUCAGUAUAAUAAAUUGAUAAGCUCAUGCUUCUGUAACAGGCUCUUGCUUUGUUGAAGGCUUCUUUAACCUCAUCAUCAGCUUUAAAUAAUUGCUUCAAGUCAAGUAUAAAUCAGAAGCUCAACAAAAGGUAUGACAUCAUAUGGCUUGUUGUUUUGAACUGGGCUACUUGUACAGGCUCAAUGAUAGGAUUUUUUUACAGACAACACAUGGACGACAUUUGACUGGAUGUUGCCAAAAAAAAGAAAAAAAGACCAUACGAGUGUUGCAGCAUAGCACCUGUAAACAAUUCCUUGUACAAAAGUUUGACGAAAUUCAUACAAAUCAACACUUUGUGGAUUUUCAUUGGUUUUUGACACAACAAACACAAAAAAUGCACUAUACAGAUGCUGUCGACGCAGCACCUGUAGGCAAGGAAUUAUUCGAAUUGUUCUGUUGUUUUUUUAUUGUUGUUAUGCAAUGACAAGGCUGUUCUUAUGCUAAUGGGUUAGGUUUCUAAUUGAUGGUGUUGAAUGCCAAAAAGGUUUAGUCUUGCAUAAUUGGAAACCAAUUGGUUUUUAGAUGAUAUAGUUAAAAUUAAUCUAACAAGUAACGUCAGAAUUAAGGGUAAUGGAUUCGAGUCACAAGAGUGUCAUGUUGAGGGAGAUAUUGUUGGUGAGCAAUAAGGUAGUUCUUAGGUCCAUGGGUUGGUCUCAUAUGAUCGUGGUUCAAUGCCUUGAAAGGUUUAGUCUAACCUCAUUGGAAACCAACUAAUUUUUAGAUGAGAUAGUUGUAACUUGAUUUUAACAAUUGUCUUUACGUUAUUACAUUUGUGCAGAGUAAAUAUUUUAUCUUGCAUUAUUAAAAUCAUAAUAUGAUGUGUUUAUAUUGUGGUAAUAGUAUUUAUCUUCUUGUGUAGUGAUGUGGCUGCGAAAUAGCUUGGAGCAAAUGGGUUUGCCUUGCCGCUAAGAAUGGACUCAAGAAUAGAGAAUAUAGGAUUGCUUUUGGUUCUUCCUUUAUUUGUCCUCUGGCUUAGAGAAUUCAUUUGAUGUUGGAGCGUUUCUUUUCAAGUUUUCUGCAUGUGUCAAUGUAUUGUCUAAGCUCAUUUCUCCAGAAUUUAUUUAUCGAAGAAACUUUCUUUUCCUAUGUAUAAUUUUUGGUGGAAAAAAUGGUAUUUUAAAAUUAUAAGUAACUCAAAUCUGUAAACUAACUGAAUUUAAAUGGAAAUAUGCAAAUUGAGGGUGAUUAUUAUUUUAUAAUGUCUUUUAUUGUCACACAAUGAUUGUAGUAGAAUGAGUAAUUUCCUAAACUUCAGAAAUUAAAUUCCCUAUUCUUCAAUGAAAAGAUUCAUAUGAGGAAAUUAUGGCCACCUCCAAGGCCUGUCAGGCCAGUUCCACAUUUUCCUGGACAGAUCCUAAAUUAUACAUCAGAACUACAACAUGAUAUUAACUAAGCCAAAAUCAUCGACAGGCCUGGCUUCUGGAACCAUUUUCCUCAGCAAGCUUUUGAUUCACUGGGUGGGCUGCGGCCAAACCCAGGUCAACUAAUUUAUUAAAAUUAAUUAUUGAUUUUAACCUCAAUUUUUAACAACUUUUUAAAUUAUUGUGGACGAAGAAACACUGCAUGAGAUAGUGUGAUUGCGAGAUCACUAAAGGUUCUCUACAAAGUGCUAAGCAAAUUUAACGCUCCAUCUUUAACCACAUAAAAGAGAGAACUUCUAGGGCACGAAUGGUCUAUAACUAGUUGAAUUGACGUUUUAUUUCGUCUAGCUCUUCUAUGAGUAAGUAUUUGAAAAUUUGUGAGAUAUUAUAUUUUACGGGUAAUUGUCAAAUAUUUUUUAGAACGACAAUUUAGUUCACCAUGUCACGAAUAUUCAAGAGACCAAAUGUUAGUACCAUAUGGUCGUGGAUAAGUCCUACACCGAGUGUUGAUCAUUAUUAGACCGUGUGCUGAGCGGCACCUUCGAAAUCCAAGGUCGACACAUUAAAGUCGGUCGGUACGAAGCUUCAUUGGUUCAGGAAUUAGCCACGGUACUAUUGACUUAAUGGUUGACUUCUUGUUUUGAUUAUCACAAACAAAUUGCGUUUAAUUCUAACAAAUUGAAUUUAAGUUAUUGAUAGUGAUUAUUGCAAAUUUGUGACACGAAAGAUCUAGAUCGAGAAUCAUAAAACCUUGGCACAAAACGACUAAUACACAAGCAAGAUUGAAGAUUUAUGAAUGAGGAAAUGGAAAUCGAGCUUUCACGCACAAAAUCGCAUUGAAUGAAGAAAUUGAAGACAUUAGCUAUAGAUGCAUUUCUAUACUCAAAUGUAAAGGUAAAACACUUUAAUAUUUUGCACCGAUUAUUGCUCAAACAAUUUUUAUGCACAAGAAUUAUCAUGACAAACCUUACUUGGAUAAAAAUUGUUUUUAAAAGAUAAGAAAUUUGAUUUUCACAAUUAAAUCUUAAUGAAAUUACUUAUCUAUAUGAAGUAUAUAAGAAAACCUUACAAGUACCUUAAAGAACGUUUUUCACGACAAAAGAAAAAUUCGAUGGGCAAAACAAUUGCCCAUCCGGACGUCCGGAUAGGGUCUUCUAGACUUCCUGAUGUGGUGUUCAACGUUUAGAUUUUUUACCGUUUGGCAAACGGCUAGUUACCUGUCCGAAGCGAACGUCCAAAUCACUUGUCCGAAUCUCCUGAUUGAUGGCUAUAAAUACCUCUCUUUAUACCUCCUUUAAAGUAAGAAUUCUAUAGCAUUAAAGAGAGUUAUUUAUUGAUCUUAUCUACCUUAUUUUUCAAUCUUUAAGAGAUCAAAAUAUUUAUUUGUUAAAAAACUUUUUGAGUGAGUAACUUUUUGAAAAAUAAUAUAUAUCAAUAAAAGUUUUUCACACAACACUUGAGCUAUAUCUUUUGUGAUUUAUUGAAGUGUUGUGCCUACUCUCUUAAUAUUUCAUUGUGUUCAUAUCAUUUGUUAAAAGAGAAGCUUUCAAUUGUAACUUUGAUUUUCUUGUUCAUUAAAUUGUGGGUCGUGUUGAGGUCCCGAAAAGCUCAACAUGCAAAAAGAUCAGUGCUCCUUAGUUGUAAGUCACCGGAAGCGUUGUAAAGGUUGGAUUGCACCAUAAGUCAAUCAAAGAUAGUGAAAAAGGCCUUGCUCGUGACGGAGAGGUUGGUAACGGGGGACGUAGAUCGUGAUUGGAUCGAACCUCCUUANNNNNNNNNNNNNNNNNNNNNNNNNNNNNNNNNNNNNNNNNNNNNNNNNNNNNNNNNNNNNNNNNNNNNNNNNNNNNNNNNNNNNNNNNNNNNNNNNNNNNNNNNNNNNNNNNNNNNNNNNNNNNNNNNNNNNNNNNNNNNNNNNNNNNNNNNNNNNNNNNNNNNNNNNNNNNNNNNNNNNNNNNNNNNNNNNNNNNNNNNNNNNNNNNNNNNNNNNNNNNNNNNNNNNNNNNNNNNNNNNNNNNNNNNNNNNNNNNNNNNNNNNNNNNNNNNNNNNNNNNNNNNNNNNNNNNNNNNNNNNNNNNNNNNNNNNNNNNNNNNNNNNNNNNNNNNNNNNNNNNNNNNNNNNNNNNNNNNNNNNNNNNNNNNNNNNNNNNNNNNNNNNNNNNNNNNNNNNNNNNNNNNNNNNNNNNNNNNNNNNNNNNNNNNNNNNNNNNNNNNNNNNNNNNNNNNNNNNNNNNNNNNNNNNNNNNNNNNNNNNNNNNNNNNNNNNNNNNNNNNNNNNNNNNNNNNNNNNNNNNNNNNNNNNNNNNNNNNNNNNNNNNNNNNNNNNNNNNNNNNNNNNNNNNNNNNNNNNNNNNNNNNNNNNNNNNNNNNNNNNNNNNNNNNNNNNNNNNNNNNNNNNNNNNNNNNNNNNNNNNNNNNNNNNNNNNNNNNNNNNNNNNNNNNNNNNNNNNNNNNNNNNNNNNNNNNNNNNNNNNNNNNNNNNNNNNNNNNNNNNNNNNNNNNNNNNNNNNNNNNNNNNNNNNNNNNNNNNNNNNNNNNNNNNNNNNNNNNNNNNNNNNNNNNNNNNNNNNNNNNNNNNNNNNNNNNNNNNNNNNNNNNNNNNNNNNNNNNNNNNNNNNNNNNNNNNNNNNNNNNNNNNNNNNNNNNNNNNNNNNNNNNNNNNNNNNNNNNNNNNNNNNNNNNNNNNNNNNNNNNNNNNNNNNNNNNNNNNNNNNNNNNNNNNNNNNNNNNNNNNNNNNNNNNNNNNNNNNNNNNNNNNNNNNNNNNNNNNNNNNNNNNNNNNNNNNNNNNNNNNNNNNNNNNNNNNNNNNNNNNNNNNNNNNNNNNNNNNNNNNNNNNNNNNNNNNNNNNNNNNNNNNNNNNNNNNNNNNNNNNNNNNNNNNNNNNNNNNNNNNNNNNNNNNNNNNNNNNNNNNNNNNNNNNNNNNNNNNNNNNNNNNNNNNNNNNNNNNNNNNNNNNNNNNNNNNNNNNNNNNNNNNNNNNNNNNNNNNNNNNNNNNNNNNNNNNNNNNNNNNNNNNNNNNNNNNNNNNNNNNNNNNNNNNNNNNNNNNNNNNNNNNNNNNNNNNNNNNNNNNNNNNNNNNNNNNNNNNNNNNNNNNNNNNNNNNNNNNNNNNNNNNNNNNNNNNNNNNNNNNNNNNNNNNNNNNNNNNNNNNNNNNNNNNNNNNNNNNNNNNNNNNNNNNNNNNNNNNNNNNNNNNNNNNNNNNNNNNNNNNNNNNNNNNNNNNNNNNNNNNNNNNNNNNNNNNNNNNNNNNNNNNNNNNNNNNNNNNNNNNNNNNNNNNNNNNNNNNNNNNNNNNNNNNNNNNNNNNNNNNNNNNNNNNNNNNNNNNNNNNNNNNNNNNNNNNNNNNNNNNNNNNNNNNNNNNNNNNNNNNNNNNNNNNNNNNNNNNNNNNNNNNNNNNNNNNNNNNNNNNNNNNNNNNNNNNNNNNNNNNNNNNNNNNNNNNNNNNNNNNNNNNNNNNNNNNNNNNNNNNNNNNGAAUGCAAAAGACAAUUUGGGAAAAUUCGACUCCAAAUUCGAUAUUGAAAUUUUCUUAGGAUAUUCAUCGACUAGCAAAGCAUAUAGAGUUUUUAACAAAUGAACUCUAGUCGUUGAAGAAUCCAUGUAUGUUACUUUUGAUGAAACUAACUCAUUUGAUUGAGAGAAAGGUAGUGAUGAUGUGUAGGUUUGGAAGCUUUUUUUGAACAAAUAAAAAAUCAAGACCGAAAUAAGGAGGCACUAAAUGGAGACAUAGAAAAGUCAAAUGCUCAAGAAAAUAAAGAAAGACAAACCGAAGAACAAGGUGUUCCCUCGUUACCAAAAGAAUGGAGGUUUGCUCCAUCUCAUCCCAAAGAGUUAAUAAUUGGCGAUCCAUCAAAAGGUAUCACUACUAAAACCUCUUAUAAAAAUCAUUUUGGUAGUUGUGCAUUUAUUUCUCGAAUAGAACCUAAGAAUUUCAAAGAAGUCGAGCUUGAUGAGUUUUGGAUUCUAGCAAUGCAAGAAGAUUUAAAUCAAUUUGAAAGAAACCUUGUUUGGGACUUAGUCGCUAGACCAAAAAAUAAAACCGUUGUUGGAACAAAAUGGGUUUUUAGAAACAAAAGAGAUGAAAAUGAAAUAAUUGUGCGUAAUAAGGCUAGAUUAGUAGCCUAAUGUUACAAUCAAGAAGAAGAUAUUGACUUUGAAGAAACAUUUGCACCCGUAGCAAUAUUAGAAUCCAUUCGAAUGCUUCUUGCAUUUGCAUGUUACAAAGGUUUUAUAAUUUAUCAAAUGGAUGUUAAAAGUGCAUUUUUAAAUGGUUUCAUUCAAGAAGAAGUUUUUGUUCAGCAACCUCCCAGAUUUUAAGAUCACAAGUAUUUGGAUCAUGUAUUUAAACUUAGAAAAGCUCUUUACGGUUUGAAACAAACUCCUAGAGCUUGGUACGAAAGGUUGAGCAAAUUUCUUCUCUCAAAUGAUAUUUCGAUUGGAAAAGCGGAUACUACACUUUUUAUAAAAACUCAUAAAGAGGAUAUGCUCAUUAUUCAAAUUUAUGUUGACAAUAUUAUCUUUGGCGCUACAAAUAUUCAUCUUUGUGAAGAAUUUUCAAAAUGCAUAAGUAAAGAAUUUGAAAUGAGCAUAAUGGGUGAGUUAAAAAAAUUUCUUGGCCUUCAAAUUAAACAAAUGAAAGAAUGAAUUUUCAUAAAUCAAAAUAAAUAUAUAUUAGACAUGCUUGAGAAAUUUGACAUGCAUGAUAUCAAGCCUAUGAACAUACCAAUGAGCACAUCUCUAAAGCUUGAUAAGGAUGAGCAAGGUACAUUCGUGGACGUCAUAAAAUAUCGAGGUAUGAUCAGAUCCCUUCUUUAUUUAACUGCUAGUAGGCCCGAUAUUAUGUUUAGUGUUUGUCUAUGUGCUCGCUUUCAAUCUAAUCCUAAAGAAUCACACUUAAAGGCUGUAAAAAGAAUUUUUCGUUAUCUAAGUAGUACAAGAACUUUAGGACUUUGGUAUCCAAAAGACACUCAUAUUGACUUAAUUAAUUAUUCGGACGCCGAUUGGGCCAGAUGUAAUGUUGAUCGUAAAAGCACUAGCAGAAAUUGUCACUUUCUAGGUUUUGCACUUGUGUCUUGGUCUAGUAAGAAACAAAAUUUCAUUGCACUAUUCACCGCCGAGGCAGAAUAUAUCUCGACCGCUAGUUGUUGUGCACAAACACUUUGGAUGAAACAAAUUUUAUGUGAUUAUCAUUUGACUGACAAUCAUAUACCUAUUUUAUGUGAUAAUACUAGUGCCAUAAAUUUGUCUAAAUAUCUCGUUUUACAUUCACAAACUAAGCAUAUUGAGAUUUGACAUCAUUUUCUUCGUGAUCAUACCCAAAAAGGAGAUAUUGAAUUAGAAUUUAUAAAGAUCGAAAACCAAUUGGCUGAUAUUUUUACAAAACCUCUAGCGCAUGACCGAUUUUCUUGUAUUCGAAGAGGUUUAGAUAUUCGUGACGAAAAUGAAGUGAACUAAGCGUUAAAUCAUUUUUUAUGCCUUUUUAUUUUUAAUUUCUCAAUUCCAUUUUUUUAAAAAAAAAAAAAAAAACUAUCCGAACGCACUUAGAGUGUCCGGACCAGCUUGUCCAAAUUGACAGAAAACGCUCCAGUAUGUUCAAAAUUCCGCCAUCCGGACGUACGGAAGAAAUACCCAGACGUCCGAAUCUUGAAACAUUCUUUAAAAUUGCGACCUGUGCUUUCUUCUUCGCCAUUCCUUCCACAACUUGUUCAAUUUACUUUACAAACAGCAUAUAUUCUCUAUUGUAUCAAAUUUCCUGGUAAAAUUCGUCAUUUUAGUAGUCAAAAAUUCGAAUUUUCGCCAUAGAGUCGAAAACCGAAUUUCAAAUUUUCAAAGGUAAGAUUCACUUCACUUCCCUUGCCAUACUACAUUUUAUUUUGGGGAUUUUACGCCCAUAUCAAAUAUAUAUUAAUAGGAUAUCAAUACCCUCUCAAUGCAUUGAGAUUUCUCUUCAAAAUUCUCGUUUUGGCCGAAAAAUUUCAAGCCCUAGAACUCAUUUUGGACUGUUUUUUAGGGAUUCUCCAUUUUUCUCAACCAUGUCAGGUUCUAGACGUGGAAAAUGGAGAAGAAAAAUUGUGCAACGACCCCCUUUACCAUCAGAUGAGAAGAUGGAUUUGGAGCCAGAAGAGCCACCGAAUCUUUUUGAAAAAUCGCCCAUUUUAAUUGGUAAGAAUGUUGAUUUUAUGGAUUUUACAAUAGAAGCUCCCGCUUUUCAUAUUGAAGAAUGUUUUGAACGCAUGGGAUGGAUAGCCAUGACCACAAUAGAAGAACACGCUUAUCCACGCCUUAAGAAAUAAUUUUAUCAAAAAAUAAAUUUUACGACACUUUCAAACGAAAUCACUUAUUUUGUUAAAAAUGUUCGGUUUACAAUUUCAAAAGCAUUAAUUCGUCAACUACUUAAUCUCGAGCCUUGUGACUUAGAAGUGUUUUUACAUAAGUCUCCACCAACCAUAGAAGUAUACGAUCCUUCUGAGGCAUGUCGUCAAGUUACGAGGAAAGACUUCGAGAACAUCACGAAAAUAAGUGCACAUCAGUUAACACUUCCAUGCAAGGUUUUGCAAAACAUAAUUGCUCACGUUAUUUUUUUCCCGCAAAGGUCAUCGAGACGAAGUCAAUCACUUUGAUCUCUUUAUUUUGGAUUCUCUACUAGUCGGGCGUAAAAUUGAUUUUCCUACUAUUGCACUUGGUCUUAUGAAGCUUGUGCAUGCAUCACGACACACCAAAGCUUUACCUUACGGGAUGAUUCUCACAAAAAUCUUUAAGCAUUUUAAUGUUUCAUUGGAUAGUGAAGAUUUUAUAAAAUUACGCCCUACCAAUAUUAUUAACAUUCAGAUCUUAAAACAGAUAAAGAUAGUAAAGGAAUAUGGGCAAUGGGUGGCUCAUACGAAAGGGUUCGAUCCUACCUCCGGUCCAUCCACUCUCCCGUUUGAAGAUGAAGCUAAAUCAAACGAAGAAGAACCCGACGUUCCUGCUCCCGCAUCUGACAUUCCUGGCUCGAGCGUGCCUCCUACUUCCCAAGAGUGUUCCACAUUUACCGAGAAGCACUAUAAUCUCCUCCAUGGGCGGGUUGAUUCUCUUACCUCAUCGGUCGACGGCAUGGGUAGCCUACUUAUCCAGAUGCAGGCUCAGCAGAUAGCUAUCCAGGAUCGAUAGCUCGAGAUGCAAUAGCAGCUUGAAUGCAGCAGCGACAGGCUGAGAUGCAGGCUCAGCAGAUUCCAUUUUUCACCGAAUUUUAUACUAGAUUUCCUCCUCCGGCCCAUUAGUUUACUUUCUUGCCUACUAUUAUUAUUAUGUUAGUUGUUAUCUAUUGCUCUUUUAUAUUUUAAAUGGUUGACUUCCUAAAUGGUACUAUUUUUUCUUCAUGCUAUUUGACCUAUUAUAUCUCUUUGCUUAUGCCAAAAGGGGGAAGAUGAGCGGAUGAUUAUGCAACAUAGGAACAACAUAGCAAGGGGGAAAGUUAUAUAAUGUUAUAUGUAUGUUGAUAGGAGGAAUAUUACUUGCAAUAUACAAAAUUAUGCUCUUGAUUAUUUGAUACUAAUUCAAUUUGUCAUAAUCAAAAAGGGGGAAAUUGUUGACCUAAUGGUUGACUUCUUGUUUUGAUUAUCAUAAACAAAUUACGUUUAAUUCUAACAAAUUGAAUUUAAGUGAUUGAUAGUGAUUAUUGCAAAUUUAUGACAUGAAAGAUCUAGAUCGAGAAUCAUGCAACUUUGGGGCACAAAACGACAAACACACAAGCAAGAUUGAAGAUUUACAAACGAGGAAAUGGAAAUCGAGCUUUCACGCACAAAAUCGCAUUGGAUGAAGAAAUUGAAGACAUUAGCUAUUGAUGCAUUUCUAUACUCAAAUGUAAAGGUAAAACACUUUAAUAUUUUACAUCGAUUAUAGCUCAAACAAUUUUUAUGCACGAGAAUUAUCAUGACAAACUUUACUUGGAUAAAAUUUAUUUUUAAAAGAUAAGUAAUUUGAUUUUCACAGUUAAAUCUUUAUGAAAUUACUUAUCUAUAUGAAGUAUAUAAGAAAAACCUACAAGUACCUUAAAGAACAUUUUUCACGACAAAAGAAAAAUUCGAUGGGCAAAACAAUUGCCCAUCCGGACGGGGUCUUCCUGACGUUCGGAUGUGGUGUUUAACGGUCGGAUUUUUUACCGUUUGGCAAACGGCUAGUUACAUGUCCGGAUACCAAGCGAACAUCCGAAUCACUUGUCCGGAUCUCCUGAUUGAUGGCUAUAAAUACCUCUCUUUAUACCUUCUUUAAAGUAAGAAUUCUAGAGCAUUAAAAAGAGUUAUUUAUUGAUCUUAUCUACCUUGUUUUUCAAUCUUUAAGAGAUCAAAAUAUUUAUUUGUUAAAAAACUUUUUGAGUGAAUAACUUUUUGAAAAAUCAUAUAUCUCAAUAAAAGUUUUUCACACAACACUUGAGCUAUAUUCUUUGUAAUUUAUUGAAGUGUUGUGCCUAAUUCUCUCUUAAUAUUUCAUUGUGUUCAUAUCAUUUGUUAAGAGAGAAGUUUUUCAAGUGUAACUUUGAUUUUCUUGUUCAUUAAAUUGUGGGUUAUGUUGAGGUCCCGAAAAGCUCAACGUGCAAAAGGAUCGGUGCUCCUUAGGUGUAAGUCACUGGAAGCGUUAUAAGGGUUGGACUGCACCAUAAGUCAAUCAAAGAUAGUGAAAAAUGCCUUGUUCAUGACGGAGAGAUUGGUAAAGGGGGACGUAGAUCGUGAUUGGAUCGAACUUGCUUAUUACAUCAUUUGCACUCUCUUUUCCCCCUCCUCUUAUUAUUUUUGUGUUGUCUUGUUUAUUCAUAGUUAUUUGCUUAAAUUUGCAUUUAUUUUCGAAAAAGUUUCAAAUAAUCAAUUCACCUUUUCUUGGUUAAUUGUUCUUGGGCUCUCAGGUACAUCUUGUCAAUUCAUCCAUCAUUUUUAAAUUUUUUUUAUUUGCUUCUUUUUUAUUUGUAGUAUUUGUUUAUUUGGCUUUUGCUUAGGACCAUGUUGCCUUUUUCCAAAUGGAAAUGGGAAAUCAAGGCAGCUAUAUUUCUCAUUAGCUUACUUAACAUUAAUAUAUUCUCUUACUUCUACUAUUACAAUGAUUUAGUAUUUACUAUCUUUGAUUUGACAUUAACUAUUUUAUUUUAUAAUAAUUCUAUACAACGCCAAUAAUGUUGAAUACAAAUUAUGUACACUAGUCAUUCUAAGUCUAUUGAUGAAUAAGACUAAAGAAAGCUUGAAGUCAAACGCAUCUCAAACUGCUAUUUUGUAUUUACAUAAUCGUAAAAUUAUUGAAUAACCACUACAUUAAAGGUUAUUUUAGACUCCCAUGGGAAAUGAAAGCAUGAAAAAUGACCUACUAUCUUCCACUCCAAAUGACCCAUUGUUUUAUUUGAUUGAGCCCAACAUCACCAUGAGCUCAUUGCGAAUGACUACCCGGAAAAUUAAUGAACCCCUCCUCUCUCCUUUUAUUUGUAGUGUUUAUUUAUAGGAUUUUGCUUAGGACUGCGUUGGCUUUUUCCACAUCGAAAUGUGAAACCAAGGGGUAAUAUAUUCUCUUCGCUUGUAUAUUUAUAGGCUCUUUAGAAGUCAAUAGAAUACUUAGACUUAUGGACUCUUUAGAAGUCAAUAGAAUACUAUUCUUGUACACCAGUUACUAGGAAACCACAUGAUGAGACGAGACAGAAAAUUUGGACACGAGGAUAACUCAAAUUGUUACUAUAUAUUUACGUACUAGUAAAAUCAUUAAUCAUCCAAUACCUUUGGCAUGUCUCCAAACUCAAACUCUGAGCAUAACUCAAAUUGUCAUUAUAUAUUACAUAAUAGUAAAAUCAUUAAUCAUCCAAUACGUUUGGCAUGUCUCCAAACUCAAAACUUUGGCUCCGCCACCUUAUAUAAAUAACUGUCAAAUUACGGUAUUUUAAAAGGCUCAAAUUUUUAAAAUCAUGUUGGGCAAAAUCAAUCCAAUUACUAUGUUGAGCAAUCCUAUUUGGCACCACUAGCGUUUCAAUGUCCAUCAAGGUUUUAGGAAGUGAUAUUAAAUGAGUCACAUAAUUCUAUUUUUUAAUAAAAACCUCUCAUAGUACCAACUAAACUGGUGUCAUAACACCAACGAUGUUAAAUAGUAUUAUACGAUGAAGUCAAUGAGACUAGCGGGUUGGUCAAUAGUCUAUAUUAGCAGGCAAUAUACCAAUUAUCAAUGUUUUUGCAAGGCACCAAACUGAAACAAUUCAACGUGUGAGAAUCUUUCUUAAUGGGAAUCGGACAUUUCCUUUCCUUCCCUUUGAGUAGUUAAAUGUUUCUUUUUGGAUCAAUAUUUAAUAACACUUUCCAGUUCAUCUCUUUUUUCCUUUGCAUAUAGGUGACUGAAAGUGGAAAAACAGUAACAAUAUAAAGAGAUCCUGUUAGAUAGAUGUGUUUGUCGCAAUGACAACAAAAAUUAUUUACAGAGUUGUAUAUGUUAAGGAAAAUCUUACAUCAGCUGAUUAUGAAACAAUCAACCUAUGAGGAGUUGGCACGUCACUUAAAUAUGAACAAUCAAACAUAUAAAAAUUGAUUAUUUCUUUUAGUAAAGUUGACCUUUUAAAAUAGAAUCUCAAGUAAAAUUCAAGAAAUUUAAAUGAGCAAUUUGAUCUUUUUAAAAUCCGAACAAAUAGUUGAAUUUUAAGAUUGGAGUACUAAAACGAGAUAUAUGAAAUACUAAGGAUAGUAGGUACCUUGGGCAUCUUCUUACUAUUGUAUGAGUAUGUUAAGAGUAAAGUUUCAUACAAGGUUACCUUUUAAUAUGUAAUACAAGAUUCAACAGUAAAUAACAUAAAAAGAAACAAAUUAUAAGGUCACAUAAAUCUUUGUACAGGUAUUACACAAACAUACAUUUUUAAAAACUUUAAUUGGUUUCGUAUUCAAACAGAACUUCAACUCCCUUGAAAGGGACUAAAUCGGCAAUUAAGGUAACAGAGCGUAGAAGGAAGAUUAGAAAAGCCAACGAGGAAAGAGUUGCUUGACAGCGAGAAAGCCCUAGAUGAGUGAUUGAGUGACCGUCGGACCCUUUAAACCUUGACCCACCUUUCUAACCCGCUGUCAUAGGCUUGCUUCACUCUAUUUGUUUUUUCUUCCUAUCCUUGUAUUUUCUUCGUUUCUCUCCCUCAGCUAAGCCACGCUUCUUUGCUAUACUAGUUGGGUUGAAUUUUAACUGAUCAAUGAAGUAGCUGAAUUCUAAAGAAAAAUCAUUAUUGCCCCUUGACCUAACAAAAACACUAAUGAGCCUAAUAUAUUCUCGAUUAUAAUAGAAAAAUUCACAUGCCUUCUGGUUCCAACUCUUUUUAUGAUGAAUCAUCGUCUGAUGAAACAAAUCCUCUUGUUUGGUUGGGAAGAGAAAUGGACAACAAAACUAAUAGAGUAUCCAAAUUAAAUGAUUUUGGAUGUCAUUCAUGUUAUGAAUUGAAGUUCAGAAUUAGUAGCCAUAAAAAGUCAAGUGUGAGAGCAUGUUGGGAGAGUUUUUUUUAAUAAAAUAAGAUUUUGAACUUCAAAACCCGUGUAUAUGGAGAAAUCCUAGGCUGCUAGCAUAUUAUAAUACAAGGGAAAAAGAUAUGAAUAAAGCCAUGAGAACUUCUAUCAACACUGAUGUGGCAAAACAUGAUUAGACCACUUUUUUUCCCAUCUUCAAAUGAUGUUGCACCAUGUGUUGUCUGUAAGAUUUUUCUGUCAAAAAUUUUUCUACCUAUAGCAUUGCUCAAAAGAUAUAUAUUUACAAAAAAUAAGUGCAAAAAGAAAGACAAAAACAAUCGAAUACACACGAUAUAUGGGCUCUGGGGAGUCUCCCAUGAGAUGGCAAGCCAUUUAUAUCACAGUUUCAUUAUAUUUAAGGUUAUUGGGGACUCCAUUAUCGAAGAGAGAUGAAGAAACUUUUUCGUUCUCCAUUUGGAAGUAUACACAUAGAGGUACUCGGCUGAAAUUUGUGUUUUCUAAAUUAGAAAAAGUGAAGAGGCAUUUUUGCCUUCAGUUGAAAGUAGGUUAAAAGAGUCUUUAACUUCUGAUCAACCAACAUGUGAAACCGUCCAAGUAUCCUUAUGACGCACACUUCUUGAAAAUUUCAUAGCUAUCUAGAUUUAAAUAAUAUGAAAUCACGCUGCAUAUUUUUGAAAGGUUUGGGAGCUCUACUGCAAAAUUUCCUUACAAUUAAUAUAAUUUCUACAAUAUAUUAACGGUAGUUAUAUUGUCACCACAAUUAUUAUUCGAUAUACCACAUGUUAAUUGCAAUUGAGCUCCUCAAUCUGCACUCAUUGUAGUAAUUAUUUUAUUAACCUUUUUUUCCGUCAAAUUCCUAUUUUCAACAUUUCAUUAAUUAGUACGUCACAUCCUUGAUAAUGAUAUUUUCGAAAUGAGGAAAAAAUAUUUUUUCGUAUUUCGUAUUUAUUCUUUUUUAAAAAUAUGAUGAAAAAAUAAGUUUUUUACUUCAUUUUUUCAACGGACUUUGCACAUAAAACUACUAUAAAUACAAAAUACGUUAACUAAUGGAGAGUUUAAGGAUAAGAAUAAAAGAGAAUCAUUAGGGAUAUAAGUGUUUUAAUGAGCAAAGAUUAAGAACCUUAAGUAAAAUUAAGAGGGAACAAAGUUCAAUUAAAAGGUGGCGUAAAAGAUAAAAAAUAUGAUGUGAACAUAAUUAUCCAUUUAUUAAAUAUCACAUCAAGUGAAAAUUAUUUUUGGACGAUUUUGACCCUACUACAAUUCAAUCAUUCCAAUAAUACCUAAAUUUCAUUUUUCAAUAUGUAAUAAAAUACUACAAAAUCGUUGUCGUGUAUGAAUUUCAUAUCAUUUUUCUCAAUUAAUUAAUAUUCACAUUAAUCUAGACUCAAUAAAUCUUGAAUUCAUGAACGUAUGAAUCUAGAGUUAUUAUAUAUGAAUUUAUUUCUAUCAUGUAUCUAGAAAUUUUAAUAAGUGUUUAAAUUUAUGUAUUAGCAAUUAAUUUUUAUGUACAAAAUAGUAUAAAGGUUGCUCAUAUGUAGUAUUUGACCAUCACAAAAAAAUUGAAUCGUGGUUGAGUUUUUAGUGUACAAAUUUCUUCUCUUAAACUUGUAUCCUAAUUUAUUUAUGUUUAGUUCAUUGGAGACUCAUCAAAUCUUCCCAACAAAUUGGUAUUAAAUAUUAUUCUUACAGCACUUAUAAAGUAUUUCAGAAUAACGUGCAAUGCACAUUCAACUCUGACUGCUAUACAAUAAAAGAGAAAACAUUUUAACAAUAAAUAAAAAUGAGUUGUAAUAUUGAGUUUUUGGAGAUUGUGUGGUUAAAACGUAGAAAAAAAAAGUUUGAAUUUAUAUGUAAAUUAUUUUAUUGAAUAAAUGUUUGGUUGAAAAUGAGUUUGAAGAAAAAUAAACUUUUAGAUAAAGGAGGUCAAAUGGGAGCUUAUUAUGGUGGUGGAAGCAUUCGAGAUAAUUCAUAUUUUUCUAUUAUUUUAUUAAUUAAUUUUGCUUAAUAACUAAGGCAGGCUUGGGAUAGUUAUUUCAUCGAUUUUGGAUGGUAUCGUUUAUAAGGUGUUGAAAAAUCGAUACUUGCUAGUUUUUUCAUCGACUUUGAGUGGUUUAAAGAUUGCCUAGAAUCAAUGUAGUGUACUUUUAACCUAUUCUCUCAACCCAUCAUAUAGGCAGGUUUUUACCAAUUUUCAUAUUCUCUUCUAAUUUUACCAUUUUUAAAAUAAUUAUUUUCAACCAAUAUAUUUUCUUCAAAACUAACUUAUAAAUAAAAAUAUAUUAACUAAAAAAUUAUUUAUAAGCAAAAAAUUUAAAUUAUAAUUAAGAAAUACUAAUAUGUAAAAUAUUACUUAUAUGUAGUGGGGCCCAAUUGAAUUAAUUGAUGGAAUCAUGGAAAUGGGUGCUGGUCCAAUUGGGUGAGAAAGGUCAAGAGACAUUAACGAGUGGUGGAAAGCACUGGGCAAAAAGGGUAAAAGUAAAGUAGAGUUUUCGAUUUUCACAUGCAACCGUUCAUUGAUGUCGGAAUUUUGAAUCAAUUCAAAUUGGAGCAGCCGAAUUUUUUAACUUUCUAUCUCACAAUAAAACCCACGUACGAGAAGAAAAAAGGAUAAAAAAAAAAAUAUAUUAUUGCAUUCAAAUAAUUGGAAACGGACAAGGGCUUAGCCCCCGUUUGGCCCCCAUUUUCUAAAAAUGAAAGUGAGUGAAAUAGUAUUUUUUUGAAAAAUGAAAGGUUGAAAAAAAAAAAGUAAAACUUUUCGAUUUACGAGUAAUUUUAUUUUAUGAAAGAUUGUGUGAUUGAAAAUAGAAAGAAAAAGAUAUAACGUAAUUUAAUGUAAUUUAAUUUUUAAGUUUUACAUUAACCUAUAUGUAAAAAUUAUCUAUAAAUAAAAUAUUACUUAUGACUAAAAAUCAUAUAAGAAAUUAUAUAUUGAAAAUUUUACAAAGGGAUAUAUAUGUAAUAUUAUUUUUUUUAAAACUUUUAGAACAAAUGGAGGAUAAACUCUCAAGCAUAUGUUGGACAAUUUUAAAAAUCGCAACUAAACCAUUGAAAAUCGAUCUGCUCAUAAACGUUCAAAAUCAAUAGUUUAAAAAAAUAACCGGUAUGCCGAAACUCCCAAGCAGGCCGUAAGGAAAUCUUUGCUUAAUACCCAAGGAAAUCUAGUUAAUUUUAGAGAUUUCUCCCAGAAGAAAUGUGCAUCAUUAUUGAUAGUCUUUACAGAUUCCACAUUGCCUAAUACCAAAGGAAAUCAAGUUAAUUUGUAUUCUUCCAAAAUGGCUAUAAAUAUCUCUGAAUGAAUCAUUUUUGGAGCAGCAACAUAGUUAUUUCGAGAGUCAAAACUGUUAUCUCUCUUACCUUGAUUAAGUUCAGUCUUUUACAUCUUCAUAUUAUGUCGACCGAUAAACAUCGAGCCCAAAAUCCCUAUAAAACUUCUGGUAGACGAGAAGCAUACCCGACUCCUCGCCGCGGAAGCCCCUAGUGAUUUCGUCAAUGUUUUGCUCAGUUUUCUCACACUUCCACUGGGAACUGUUGUUUGUGUCAUGAAAAGCCAUCCCGGCUCCAUUGGCUGCAUGAACAACUUGUAUCAAAGCAUUGAACAGCUUAGCGUGGACAAUUUCUGCACAGAGACAUGUAAAUCAAUACUGUUAAGCCCAAGAAACCUUCGUGCUCUUGUUUGCAAGAAUCUUAAACUGAAUAUUGAUGACACGAGCAAUGGGAUAUGCUUUUCUUUUAAUUAUAAUUAUUGCGGUAGGAAGAGUCAUUAUCCUUGCACUUUGUGGACGCAUAGCCAACAUAGAGAUAUCUGAGGGGUCUCAACCCUUCGAUCCAGAACAUUUUGUUGGAAGAAUGUGUAGGAAAUUCAGUGUAUGUGGAUAAAACCAGGAAAUGUUAUCUUUCGGGUCGCCAAUUUGAUUAGUGCGCAAUUAAAAGACUCCCAGAUGAGGAGGGGGUCACAACCGGACCGCUUAAAUCUCAAAUUCUUCUUAGACAGUUUAAGUCUUUUUGACAAAGUCUUUCAAUUUUGCAACUAUGCAAAUCAACAAAAUUCAAACAACCGUAUAUCGAAUUUUCACCAGAUCAUUGAAAGUUUUAUUUCCAACAAAUAACUUUUGUUCCAAUAGAAUUUAAAAUUCAUGAAGCAUACGAACAAUAUAUCAUAAAUUCAUGAAGCAUGGACUAUAAAUUUAAUACGAAAAUUGCAUGAAUUAAACAACUGAAACAUAGAAUUUUAACCCGAAGCCUGUGUUACACACAGUUUCCUUAAAACAGAUUCGCCCCCUCACCGUUCGUGCUUGAGGUUUAAAACGAGCGUCCGUUUCCCAGGAUACAACGGUAAAACCAGUAGCUUCCGAGCACCGCAGAAACAACUCCGGCGAACUGAACUAGUGCCUGAACUACACCACCACCAAGAGAGAACUCCAUGCAAAUGAAUUUCUAGUGUAUUCUAAACUUGAGAGCUUUUGCUUUUUUGUGUGUUGAAAUGAGGAAAAUGAGCCACUAUUUAUAGGCUAGGCUACCAUUAAUAGCAAUGACCUUUGGAGUUCCUCAUCUUUUUCCUAUGUGGGACAAAUUCAUUUUUCCCACAUAAACUCCCUUUUGAGUUGCACAUUUUGAGCCUCAAUUUCUCAUUCACCCGAGCAUCAACUUUGACAAGUAAGUAUAUGAUUUCGAUAUACUCACGGAGGAGAACACAAAUCAACUUUCAUCUUCCAAAUUGAACAACCGGGUCCCACUCAAAACUCGUGCCAAACUCGGCCAAUUUUUCCAACAGAAUGAUCAUGUAUGUGAUUUCAGAUGAUCUGCAGGUGCUACUUGGAAAUCCAAAUUCUCUGGCGCAGUUGCUAUGUAAUUUGGGUUUAAGCGAUGUUGAUCAAGUUGAGGAAUUGUCUGUUGAUGUUGGAUUAGAGGAGGUAAUCUAAUCUAUUAACAAAAAAUAAUCUUUCUUUCUAUAUUUUUGUCAUAACACAGCUCAUUUUGUUUUUAAACUUUUUGCAAGUGUAUAUGUGUGGUAGAUAUAUGUGUUAUGACGUAUAUGGAAGUUGUUUGUUUAACUUUCAUGUUCAUCAUAUUGUUUGAACACAUCUUUGAGCUUGUGUCUGGUUCUCUUCUUAUGUGAAUGGUCUUUCUUUCGCUGUGUUCUUUAAGGUUUCUAAGUUGCUCAAGCAUUCUUUGGUAUCAAAGACUCCUUUGACAGAUGUAUUCUUGGGGAAAAGGAAACUUGCAAAUAAUUCGAUACCAUGGAUCUAAGAAAUUCACCUACACCAAGCAGUGAAAAUCUAACAUCGCCAAAUCAUACUGAAUUCCCGGUUAAGUUAAUGUUAAGCAAGUCGCAAAACAAGAUAUUGGGUUUGUUAGUAAGGGAAGAUUUUAUCGAUUUUCUCUUCAGCUUUUUUACGAUUCCGCUUGGAUCAGUGGUAAAGCUUUUGGACUUGAACUCUGGGGUAGGAUGUGUUGAUAAUUUGUACAGAACAGUAGAGAAUUUGGACUCGGAGUUGCUUGCUAUUCCCAAGAAUGAACUAAUAAAUGUCGGAGUUCUGAAACAAUACAAGUGCAAAAAUAAUCCAUUGCAAAUUCGUGAUGCUAUAAACAUAUUAAACCUUCUUGACCCAAGGGGCCCAACUGGGAGUGUUGAUUGCUUUGGUAGAUUUAUGGAGGCACGAUACUGGUUCGUAGUGUCAGAUAAAUUGGUAGUGACACCACUAUCAUCUCCGUCAUCAAGUAUUAGCUUCCUAAAAGAACUAAAUGUACCUCUCAAUGAUAUUGCAGAGCAGGAAGAAACUAUAGGCGAGACUGAGGUAAAUUCUAGAGUCGGAUUUGUUUUGUUUCGUGUAGUAUUGGAGAUUGUAGAGCAAUUUCUUUCUCCUCUUCAUACUCAGUAUAAUAAAUUGAUAAGUUCAUGCUUCUGUAACAGACUCUUGCUUUGUUGAAGGCUUCAAGUCAAGUAUAAAUCAGAAGCUCAACAAAAGGUAUGACAUCAUAUGGCUUGUUGUUUUGAACCGUGCUACUUGUAUGGGCUCAAUAAUAGGAUUUUUUAUGGACGACAUUUGAUUGGAUGUUGCAAAAAAAAAAGAGAGAGAGAGAGAGAGAAAGGGAAAGAGAGAGAUAGAGAGAGACCAUACAAUUGUUGCCCGCAUAGCACCUGUAAACAAUUUCUUGUACAAAAGUUUGACAAAAUUCAUACGGAUUGAUACUUUGUGGAUUUUCAUUGGGUUUUGGCAUAAUAAACAUGAAAAAUGCACCAUACAGAUGCUGUCGAUGCAGAACCUCUAGGCAGGGAAUUAUUCGAAUUGUCUUGUUAUUGUUGUUAUGCAGUGACAAGGUUGUUCUUAUGCUAAUGGGUUAGGUGUCUCAACUGAUGGUGUUGAAUGACAAAAAGGUUUAGUCUUGCAUAAUUGGAAACCAAUUGGUUUUUAGAUGAUAUAGAUAAAAUUAGUCUAACAAGUAACGUCAAAAUUAAGGGUUAUGGAUUCGAGUCACAAGAGUGCCAUGUUGAGGGAGAUAUUGUUGGUGAGCAACAAUGUAGUUCUUAGGUCCAUGGGUUGGUCUCAUAUGACUGCGAUUCCAUGCCAUGAAAGGUUUAGUCUAACCUCAUUGGAAACCAACUGAUUUUUAGACGAGAUAGUCGUAACUUGAUUUUGACAAUGGUCUCUACAUGGUUACAGUGCAGAGGAAAUAGUUUAUCUUGCAUUAUUAAAAUCAUAAUGUGAUGUGUUUAUUAUAUUGUGGUAAUAGUAUUUAUCUUCUUGUGUAGUGAUGCGGCUGCGAAAUCUAUUGGGAGCAAAUAGGUUUGCCUUGCCGUUACUUCAAUGGACUCAAGAAUAGAGAAUAUAGGAUUGCUUUUGCUUCUUCCGUUUUUGUCCUUUGGCUUUGAGAAUUCAUCUGAUGUUGGAGCGUUGCUUUUUAAGUUUUUUGCAUGUGUCAAUGUAUUGUCUAAGCUCAUUGCUCCAUAAUUUAUUUAUCGAAGAAACUUUCUUUUCCUAUGUAUAAUUUUUGGUGGAAAAAAUGGUAUUUUAAAAUUAUAAGUAACUUAAAUCUGUAAACUAAUUGAAUUUAUAUGCAAAUUGAGGGUGAUUAUUAUUUUAUGAUGUCUUUUAUUGUCACAACAAUGAUUGUAGCAGAAUGAGUAAUUUCCUAAAUUUCAAACAAGGAAACACUGAAUGAGAUAGUGUGAUUGUGAGAUCACUGAAGGUUUUAUACGAAACGCUAGGCAAAUUUAACACGUAUUUAAUCAUAGAGAAGAGAGAAUUUUUAGGGCCACGAUAGUCUACAACUAGUUAAAGUUAACAUUUUAUUUCGUCUAGCUCUUCUACAACAAGUAUUUGAAAAUUUAUGAGAUAUCAUAUCCUACGAGUUAGUUUGUCAAAUAUUUUUUAGGAGGAUAAUUUAGUUCAUUAUGUUACGAAUAUUAAACUGAUCAAAUAUUAGUACCGUACAGUCGUGGACCUACGCCGAGUCUUGAUCAUUAUUAGAUCGUGUGAUGAGCGGCACCUACGAAGGACGACACGUUAAUACCAGUCGGUGUGAACCUUCUAUGAUGUUUCAUUGGUUCAGGAAUUAGCCAUGGUGCAUCUUGUCGGUUCAUCAUCAUUUUUAAAUUUAUUAUUAUUAUUAUUAUUAUUAUUAUUAUUAUUAUUAUUAUUAUUAUUAUUAUUAAUUACUUCUAUUUUAUUUGUAGUAUUUAGUUAUUUGGCUUUUGCUUAUGACCAUGUUGCCUUUUUUCCAAAUGGAAAUGUGUAAUCAAGAGGCAGCUAUAUUUCUCAUUAGCUUAACAUUAAUAUAUUCUCUUCUAUUAUUUCGAAGAUUUAGUUUUUAGUAUUUUAGUGAGUUGAAAUUAACCAUUUUAUUUUAUAAUAAUUCUAUAUAGCCCUAUAAUGUUGAAUACAAAUUGUGUUCACCAGUCAUUCUAAGUCUAUUGAUGAGAUGAGACUAAAGAAAGCUUCAAGUCGAAUGCGACUCAACUGUUAGUAUAUAUUCGUAAAACUAUUGAAUAACCACUACAUUGUAGGUUAUUUUAGUCUCCCAUGGGCCAAUAAAGCAUAGGGCAACUUACAAAAUUACCCUUAAAAUUAGAGGUGUUAUGAAAAAUCAUAUAAAAAUAAAUAAAUUGGAAGUAAAAAAUAUUGUGUAAAUUAAAAAGUGACAUUGUCACUUUUUGAUAGAAAUUGUCACUUUUUUUAACAUAGUUCAAAAAAAAGUGACACAAACUCAAAAAAAGUGACAAAAUUCAAAAAAAAAAAGUGAUACAAACACUCCAAAAGUGACAAAAUUCUUUAAAAAAAUCACAAAUAUCAAAAUAACACCAUUCAUUUGUGCAACAUCAGUAAUCAUGUUCUUAACAUAAUUAACUUGUUCAGAACAAUCCACAUAAACAUAGUGACGAUUCUUAACAUAAUCAGCAUGCCCAAGACAAUUCACAUGCUGAUUAUGUUAAAAAAAUAUCACAUAUCAUAUCACAUUUUUAAGAAGAUAAGUAACAAAUAUUAAAAAAAGUGACAAAACUCAAAAAAAAAAAUGACAAAAUCUAUUUUAGAAAAAAGGAAAAUUGGAAGUAAAAAAAUACUGUGUAAAUUUAAAAGUGAAACGAACUCAAAAAAAAUUAAAAAAAAUAAAAAAAAUGGUACAAACUCAGAAAAAUGACAAACACCAAAAAUAACACCAUCCAUUUUGUUUGCCUGACAUUUCAUAUAAUUUUACACCGGUUACCAUCUCACAUUACAAAAGUUUUACUAAAAAAAAAAGUGACGAAUUCAAAAAAAUGACACAAGUUAGCAAAAGUUACGCAAAUUAAGAAAGUGACAUAAUUUAAAAAAAAAAUUAAAAAAAUGACACAAAUUCAAAAAAAGUGACUAGAAAUAAAAGAAUGACAAAUCAUAACCCAUGAUUUUCAAUAUAGCCAAAUUAUCCAAUAAGUUCACAAGUGAUGAACAAAUUAAAAAUUUUUGUACUAACAACUUGAACAAUAUAAUCAUAAUCCAAAAUUUUAAAUACAUCCAAGUUUCCAAUAAGCUCACAACUAAUGAAAAUUGAUGACUAAAUUAAGAUGUAAAUGUCAAAAAAUUUCAUAAACACUCAUCACUGUAAAAGCGACGCACUAUUGAAAAAAGCGACACAAUGUCACUUUUUAAAAGUUAACUGUCACCUUUAUUAAAAAGUGAUGCUUGUCACUAAAAAAAGUGAUAGAAAUCAAGAAGUUAACUGAAAAAAGUGAAACAUUAAUAAAGUGAUAAAUACUAUAAAAAAAAAAAAAAAAGUGGCCGAAAUCUAAAAGAAAUGAUAAAUUCAAGAAAGUGACAAAAAAAAUUACACAUACUAAAAAGUGACAAACACUCAAAAAGUAACAAAAUUUAAAAAAAAAAAUGACAAACUCAAAAAAGUGAAAAAAAAAUUAAAAAAGUGACAAAAAAUAAAAUAAAACUUAACAAACACUCAAUGUCACUUUUUUAUUAAAAAAAAUGACAUACAAUGUCACUUUUAUUAAAAAAAAAUUGAUAUUUGUCACUCAAAAAAUGGUAGAAAUUAACAUCUAAAGGAAAUUCUUAUAAACAAAUUAAAAGUUUCAUCAAAGAUGUAUUGUUUAAUUAGAAACUAAUUGUAUGUGACAUUUUAAUAAAAAAGUAGAACAAGAUGCUAUGUUACUCUUUAAUGAAAGUGUCAAAAAAAUGCAAAUUAAAAAAAAAAGGUUUAAACACCAUCACUCUUUUUCAGAGCUUGUUCAUCCUACAAAAAUAAUUUAUUAUUUGACAUUUUCAAUGCAAUUUAUAGGUUAUCUUUGUCUCAACAAAUACGUCUUCAUCUCCUUCUCCAUCAACAUAUCACAUAUGCCUUCUUUUAACGCUCAAUCAUUGUCUAUAUCAUAAUCGUCAUCUCUGCCCAUCUCUCUUCCUGUGGUAUUAAAUAUGGAAGCAAUUCGAUAAAGUGGUAGAAAUUAAAAAAGUAACAAAAACUCAAAAAAGUGACAAAUAAAUCAAAACAUUAGAAUUGAUCUAAUGGAUGGUUGAUUUUCUCUUAUAUGUUGCCUUUCUGUAAAUAUCUUUUUCUUCUAUUAACCAACAUAUUAACUUGAAUUUGGAAAACAAAAAUUCAAAAAAGUGACAAAAACUCCAAAAAGCGAGGAACGCUUCAAAAAAAAUUUGAAAUAAACAGUUCAUAAUAUUAAGCUGAUUAUGAUUAAUUUUUAAUUAAACUAUGUUUCAUUUGCAAAUGGAUAUGACUUGAGUCAGGUGCCUAGAUAAAGCAUGAAUUCUAGGUGACAAUGCAAGUCCCACCCCAUGGACAGUUUGUACAGUUACACAAGUCAAAGAAGUCAAGCCUCUUACAAGAAGAAUGUUGCCAAUCACAGCUAGCUCAAUCCUACUGAACAUUUGUAUGACAUAGCUCCAAACAUUUUCAGUACAACAAGGCUCCCUAAUGGACUGAAGACUUGGCUUCUUCCAAAUUCCUGCACCUUUGAUAUUAUAGUUCGAGAAUCUCCAACAUUAGCAACAUAUGGGUGAUUGCCAACUAGAACUUCCAGUGAAGUUUUUGAACCAUCAUACCUUAAAGUAUCUUUUGCUGGCUUCAAAAGAGUCUAUGUCAGUUUGUUGAUAUGUUUCACCUAUGAUUUUAUAAAUGUAUUAGGUAUAUCUGUUAUAUAUAAAAAAAGAGGGAACAAAUAGCCAGUUCCCUAUUAACAAUUCAUCUUCAAAGACUUUGAUGUGCUUAAACAUGCAAAGCAGGGUAAAAUAUUUCCAUUCCACGAGCAACAAAAGCUAUGUUGGGGGCUAGGUUACUGCUAUUUGUUUUAUCCAAUUAAAUAAAUUACCAACUACAAUAGCCACUAAAGUUAUCCUUUCGAAGGAAACAAAAAAUAUCAUAUCCCUGAUGGGCCCUCAACUCCAAAUGAUUUCCCAACUAUAUUCCAUUUAUAAUCACUGAGACGAGCACUAUGGGAAUGAAAAAACGAUAUAUGUAAUCUAAACCAGCUAAUGUAAUCAAAAGUGGCAAGUUCGUUAUGGAUGUUGUACCAGAUUUCAUUUGAAUUAGGCUACUUAACUUGUCUAAGUUCCAACUAGUGUAUUAAUAUUGGCUGCAACACUAUUUCCUUCAAAUCAAUGAAGGCACCAAAACAAGUACUCUUAAAUAAAGUCUUCUGCUACUUUAAUUAUUGAAAAACUGUAUCAUUUCCCAUUCCUAGUGACUACAUGACAGCCUCCAGCCUAACCCAAUCUUGUAUUGCCUCCCACUGUCCCUCCAUGCCCUAUCUAAUCUCAACAAUCCCAUAAACUCAAAACCAUGUUUGAACUCUUCAAUAAAAUCCCCCAUUUAUCCUUAAAAAAAAUCAAGAAAAUGCCUAUAAAAUAGUGCUUCUCACCGACUAGUUUGUAUACAUAUUUCAAUUUACACAAAACAAAAGGCAAUGAACAAAACCAGAAGUCACAUAAGAAAUAUCUAAACCAUAAAGGAACAAAAAAUAAAACAUAAACACGAGGGGAAAUUGGAGAAAUUAAUGCUACCUUGAUUUUAUAAGAUUUCUUCUCCUUUAAAGAUAGUUCUUCAUCAAUAUUUUUUUCAUCUUCAAUCUACUUUUUCCAGCCAAUGCAGAAAUAGGAGUCGGAGUUAGUUAUCAAAGUCGACAUUGGAGUGAAUAAGGUGGAAUCAGAUUCACAUUUCUGGAUUUUGAUGGGAACAAGUUAGGGUUUAGACUAUUAAAAGGAUAGAUGUUUAAGAUCUCUACCAAAUUAGAAGGAGAAGAUGAACGGAGACGAAGGUACAUAUGCAAAAUCGAUAGAAAAAUGGUCAAAAUGGAGAUUUGAAGUUGAGUUUUCUUGGAGAUGGUGAAAUGGUCUCUAGAGAGAGUUUUCUAGCAAUGAGAAAUGGGUAUUUUCUAUCGAAUUACUUUGAGGGUUGGAGUUUUGCUUCAUUGUUUAGAUUAGGACGUAAUUUUUACUUCAUUAAAAUAUUUAAUUAGUUUAAAAAGUAUUAAUCAAAAUACUUAUUUUUAUAGGGUACAAGGCCUAAUUUCCUCUAAAGCAUAAGCCCUUUGUUUUACUUAAUUGAGCCCAACAUCACCAUGAGCUCGUCGCAAAUGACUACCCCGAAUUGAACCCCUCCUUUCUCUUUUUAUUUGUAGUAUUUAUUUAAUUAUAGGAUUUUGCUUAGGACUCUGUAGGUUUUUUUUUUUUUUCCAACGGAAAUGUGAAAUUAAAGGGUAGCUAAAUUUCUCAUUGGCUUAAUUAGCAUACUUUAAUAUAUUCUCUACAUCUGUAUUAGGCUCUUUUGAAGUAGAAUACUUCAAAAUUGGAGCUAUGGACACCCUUACUCUUUGAAAGUCAAUAGAAUGCUAUUCAUGUACACCAUGUAAGUGUUAUGUUCUAGGUCCAAUUAACUUUGAACAUAAACACUUUUAAUAUAUAAUUGAUACAUAUCAUUUAUGAUAGAUCUAUUAUUUAACUGAAUUAAUAUUCUCAUAAAUUAAAUAGAAUUCAUAGAUUCAAAUCUUGUUAAUUUGUUAAUCAUAAGUUGCGAUGAUGAGAUAUAACUUAUAUAUGACUGAAUCUUAAAUCAUCUGUGAUUGUAUAUGGAUACGUCAUCACGUGUAACAUUUCUUAUUUGUAAACUAAGUACCUGAUCACACAAGUUAAAGUGUGGUGAUGAUACUUAAAUGAACACUUGAAUGUUUUGUUAUAGAAUAAAAUAUUGGAAACUCGUUGGAGAGACUUCUCAUGAAUAACUAUCUGAGUAUCAGUAGUUAAUCUGUAACAUUCGGUAGUGAAAUUGAUCAUUCGACUUGGGGUCAUCAUAGUGCAUGAUAUGAGGAAGGUCAUACAUUGAUGAUGUUGGAUGUUAUUCUACCAAAAGUCGCUAAUACGGUAUUGUUCGGGUAAGUGAGGGAUAAUAUGAAUGUUGUGAAUGAUCAAUAAAGAAUUCGUUAUUCUUAGAUAGUAAAAUUAUAAUCUAUAUUUCAUUCAGUUAAGUUGAUAAUGAAAUCAUUGGUCAAAGUAUACUCAUAAAUUGAAAAGAGUUUUCGACUUGCAUUGAAUUAAUAAUGUGUUGAAAGAUAUGAUCGAUAAUCAAAAUUGACAACUACCAUACCACGUAAUUGAUCGGAUCAUAAUGACGAAGAGAUUAUCGUUUCAUGGUAAACGAAACAAAUUUGACUUUAUCAUACUAAGUGACAUUUUUAUUCACGUGUAUUACCCUGAUACAUUGUUGGAUAUCAAUUUGAGACAAUGAAUGUGAAUUGGUAAUAAAUUAAAAUGUGAAAUUUUAAUUUAUCGAUUUUGAUAAAAUUAAAAUAAUAAUUCACUUCGUUAGAUAGGGUGAUCAAGAACAUAAUGUGUUACACACAAAAAGAGAACUAGAAGAAUGAAAUUUAUCAAUUAAUUAAUUGACAAGUGUUGGACAAUAAGUUAAUUAAUUGGGUUUUUUGUUAAUGGGCCCAAAUUAAUUAAUUACUAGACCAAAUUUAAUUAAUUGGAUCAAAUUUAAUUAAUUAGAUUAAUUAAAUAUUGAAUUGGGUUAAGUUUAAGAGACGGGUCAAGCCCACUUGAACUUCUAUUAAUAGACUGGUACAGUUUGAGAAAUCAUAAUACAACAUAAUUCUAUUCUUGCUAGCACAAUAAAAGAAAAUUCUAGUUCUCUUAAUCUCAUUUUCUGCAUGGAUUUUCAUUGUAGGUCAGAUAAUUGGAUAGCUAUUGAUUGCAGAUCGUGACUGUUUGGGUUCAAGAAAAGCAAAUAAGUUUGCAGAAUUCAAUAAAUGUAUAGUCUCUAUCUAAGCACAAACCAAAUCUUUGGAGGAAAUUGAAAUUGUUUUUAUUUUUCACUAUACAUGUUUAAGUGAAUUUCCAACAUACCACUCAUUAGGAAUCUACAUUAUGAGACAAGACGAAAAAAAUUCAGACUCGAGCAUAACUCAAAUUUUAUUUUAUAUUUACUCAAUAGUAAAAUCAUUAAUCUCAUCCAAUACUUUUGGCAUGUCUUCAAACUCAAAACUCUUAAUUUCGUCACCUUACGUAAAUCACUGCCAAAUUAAGGUGUUGUAAAGGCUAAAAAUUUUAAAAUCAUGUUGGGCAAAAUCAAUCCGACUACUAGGUUGAAAGUCAGAGCGAAAACGUUGUAAAAAUAAGUCAAGUAAUGCUAUAUAGCAUCAAUGACAUUACCACACCUGCCUAGGUGUUACUAAGUGACAUUAAAUAAGAUAUACAAUAAAAUGAGUUACAUAAUUCUACUUUUAAGUGAAUACUUCACAUAAGAAUAAUUCUACUCCUACAAAGUUGGUGUACAAAAGUAGAGUGCCAAAGUGUGUUGGCAAAAUCUAGACCCAUGAUUUCAAAUGAUUUAAAAAUCUAUUUUUGAAAUAAUUGGUGUAAAUUUGAUUUUGUAACCUAACUUUGUAAACCCCCUUUGCCAUUGUAGCAUAGCUCCUUCAAAUAAUACCAUCUAAACUAAUGUCGUAGUUUCAGUAGGCUGUACACCAAUCAUCAAUGUGUUUGCAAUGCACCAAGCCGAAACAAUUCAACGCGGAGAAUUUGUCUGAAUGUGAAUUGGACAUUUCCUUUCCUUCCUUUGAGUUGUUAAAUGUUUCACUUUGGAUCGAUAAUUAAUAACACUUUCCACUUCAUUUCUUUUUUCCUUUGCAUAUUGGUGACUAAAAGUAGAAAAAUAACAACAAUAUAAAGAGGUUUAGAUAGAUAUGUUUGUUGCAAUGACAACGAAAAAAUUAUGUCUUAUUUUUAUGUAAAUAAAUUCUAGAAAAUAUGGCUUUAUUUACAUAGUUGUAUAUUUUUAAGGUAAAAUCUCACGUCAACUAAUUAUGAAGCAAUCAACCUGUAAUGAUUUGACACGCGUCACUUGAAUAUGAACAAUUUAACAUAUAAAGAAUGGAUUAAUUUCACAAACGAUCACUGAACUUACAGAAAAUUACAAAACGAUCAUUGAAGUUUAAAACAUUCAGUUACGGUCACUUAAGUAUUGUGAUGCUUUCAAAAAUGGUCACUGAAGUUUAAAAAUUUUUGAGCUACUUUUGCGGCAAUUUUCGACCACUUCCGACCACCGAUACCACCAUAUUUUAAUACCUUUGGAAAGCCUACAAUGUCCUCUUCAAUUACAACAAAAAAUCUCACCCAAACUUCAAAGGAUUCGGCCGGAAUAAACCGACAAAGUUGGCUACCCGAAAAGGCAAAAAUUUGCACAAAUUUUCAUAUUUUUGGUGGACAUUUACGGCAAUUUUUUAACAACUUCCGACCACCAAAAUAGCCAAAUUUUGAUACCAUUGAAAAUCCCACAAUGUAUUCUUUAAUUAGCAUCCAAAAUCUCCCCAAAACUCCAAAGGAUUCGGCCGAAAUAAACUCACAAAGUUGGCAUCCCAGAUUUUCGCCUUUUUGGGAUGCCGACUUUACGGGAUUAUUUCAGCCGAAUCCUUUGGAGUUUGAGGAAGAUUUUGGAUGGUAAUUCAAGAGGACAUUGUGGAAUUUCCAACAGUAUCAAAAUUUGGCUACUUUUGGUAGUCGGAAGUUGUUAAAAAAUCGCUGCAAAAGUCGCCCAAAAAUCUGAAAAUCUGGGCAGAUUUUCAAAUUUUUUGGGGCGAAUUUUGCGAUAAUUUUUCAAUCGAAUUCCUUGGUGUUAUGGAGAGAUUUUGAAUGGUAAUUGAAGAGGAUGUUGUGGGAUUUCCAACAGUAUCAAAAUUCGAUGGUAUCGGUGGUUGGAAGUAACCGAAAAAAUUGUCGCAAAUGUAACCAAAAAAACUAAAAAAGUGUUUUUCAAUUUCAGUGACUAUUUCAGAAACUUUUUAAAUUUCAAUGACCAUUUUUGAAAGCGUCCCAAUACUUAAGUGACCAUUACUGAAAGUUUUAAAUUUCAGUGACCGUUUUGUAAUUUUUCUGUAAGUUCUGUGAUCGUUUGUGAAAUUAACCCUAUAAAGAAUUGAUUAUUUCUUUUAAUAAAGCCGGUCUUUUAAAAUAGAACCUCAUGUAAAAUUCAGGAAAUUUAAAUGAGUAGUUUGAUCAUUAUGAAAUUCAAAUAAAUUGUUGAAUUUUAGGAUAGGAGUAUUAACACAAGCUAUAGGAAAUGCUAAGGAGAAUAGGUACCAUGGGCAUCUUCUAACUAUCUUGUAUCACUAAAACAAAAACAACAUUUUGCAACGUUUUUACUAUCUUGUAUCACUAAAACAAAAACAACAUUUUGCAACGUUCAAAAAACGUUGCUGAAGACAUUUUGCAACGUUCGGCCGCAUGUUGCAAAUCUAGAUGUUGCCAUAGAAUAGAAGGAUACAAUAACAUUUUUUGAACGUUGCAAAAAACUCUCUCGACAUUUUUUUGAAUGUUGCUAAUAAUCUUUUUGCAACGUUUUUUCUCGUGUUACUAACAACCUUUUUGUAAUGUUUUUUGAAUGUAGCUAAAAAUAUUUUUGUAACAUUUUCUAAAUGUUGCUAAUAACCUUUUUGCAACAUUUUUCGAGUGUUGCUAAUAACUUUUUGCAACAUUUUUGACCUUUGCCGUAGGUUUUUCUUUUUUUCACAAGAAUUUUUAAUAAUGUUUUUAAGUACUUAGUAUAUUAAAGUUUAAAGUCAAAAACUUAAUGAAAAGGAAAAACUGAAGUUCAAACUAACUGACAGUGAACAUGAAAUUACAAAUAUAUUCAUUCAAUCCCUUAAUUUUUGAGUUCAAAACAACAUAAAAUAAAACUAAAUUACAAGAUUAGUUAAAAUCUAACUAUUGAAGAAACUUUCUCUUUUUGCAGAUGAAGCGUACUUCUUCUAUCGAAGGAUAUAUCCAGCAUAUAAAUAAGAAAAAAACUAACCAUAUAUUCCUUAAAAUCUAAAUUCUAGCAAGAAAGUUAAAUAAAAACACACUAAACUGAAGUUCACAAGAAUUUCGAAUUGCUUCUACUUUUAUGAACAAAAGCAAAAGGCAAAAAUUGACAUUUUCGACAAAACCUGUUCUAUGUUCUCCCUCACUAACAUAAUCAAGUUCCUCAAAGAAGUUAGCAACUCAUUCAUCAACCAAUCCAACAAUGUUAACAGAUUUCUUAAAAACUAUAUUUGAGGUGGAUCACUACUUGUUAAUAAACUCUUACAAAUAGAAUACAGAACAAGAAAAUGAACAAUCACUACCUGCAAAAAUUUGUGAAGAGAAAGUCCUAAGUGGCUUGUAAUGAAUAAAUCUAUUGCUGGUCUCAAGGACAAAAGGCCUCUGUACUUUGACAACUACCAUAUCACAAUUCUCUUUUAGCCAAUCCUUAUAGACUUGGCCGAGUGAUGCUGUCAUUAAUUUUCAAAACAUGAAAAUAAUAUAUGAGCUUCACAUACAAGACGAAUUAGAGACAUUAAGUAUUGAGAAGUUGUGAAAGUGAAAAAAUAAUGCACAUUUGCAGCAAAUGAUGCUAAAUAAAUGGCCUAGGUGUGAAUGGUCAUUGAGAUUACCAGUGGCUAUGAGAGAGGAGGAAAGUUCAGAGUAGAUGUUAUACCAUUGUUGUCCGAGCUCCUCUUCAAUAAGAGCUAUAGCCAUAUGAUCUGGAAAUGAUGGAACCUACACCACUGAUAAGACAAAAAGUUAGAAACAAAGAUCAGUUCAAAUGAAAAUUAGAAUCAAAAACAAGAAAAGACCUCGCAAAAAAUGCAAAAAUACCUCAAUCCUUUUUCUUGAGGUGAUUGUACGUGUAAGACUUCAAACUUAAAUGACUUAGUCCAAAUGAAAUGGAGGCAAUCACCUGCAUAUGUCUACGGAGGCAAUCACCUGCACCAUCGAGACUAAAGACACAAUUUAAAUGAAGAUGAAAAGGUAGGGAAUUCAAGAGCAAGAUGAUAGAUGCCAAACCGAUUCACAUGGUUGCUGCCACAUCUUUGUUAAUCUAGAAGGUUCAAUAGUUAGUUUGUAGGGUCAAAAAUGUAAUAAGUCAAGCAGUGAUUGCUUAUAAAUGGAGAGUUGGGGAUUAGGAAUUAUUCAUUCACGUGUAUGUUGAGUCAAGAGGGAGAGACUAGGCCUCUCGAAUAGCCUGGGAUUUGUUACCAAUUCUGUUCAUUUACUCUUCCAAUAAGAAUUUACUUUGAUUUUUCAUUGUUUAUCAAUUCAAAAGAGCUUCCACUGGUACUGCAGGUUGGGGGUUCUAUCAAAAUGGUAUCAAAGCAACCAUUCUGGCCCUGGGAUAAUACAUUUGAUGAAGAAAAGAAAUUGGAAGAUCGGGUUAAUAAUUUGGAAAUAAGGAUGGAUGGACUGCAAUCAGAGUUCGAGGCAAUGAAAUUUGAGAUUCAAACGGGUAUGUCACGAUGGAAGGAGAAAAUUGAUUAGUUGAUGCAGAAAUGGGAUGGACUAGAGCGUGAUAAGAAGGAGACAUUUAAUCUAACUAGAAAUGCUACUGAUCUGGAAACUUCAAUCAAAACCAACGAAACAAGGGUGAGUACACGAGUAGCCUCCUCACCAGAAUCCACCGUCGUAGAAGACAGGAGUUCACUUAAAACCUUACCGUCACCAACGCCAACGAUCGCAAGCGAAGUACGGGAGCAUAUCCUCAUCAAGGGGCUGAAACUCACUAGCACCUCUAAAAUUUUCCCAAAAUUGGAAGAAGUUGGUGCAUAUAAUGGAGGCUUGAACCACCGGGAUAAACUUAGGAAGGCUGAGAUACGGAGCAUGCUGGGGUUUGACGUCGAGAAUUUCAACAGUUGGAAAAGUAGAUCGCAAAGAAUUUUCAAAUUGAAUCAAAUUUAUGAUUGGGAGAAAUUGGAGGCCGCAACUAUUUGUUGUGAAGGAAAAGCACUGACCUAUUAUCAGUGGAAGGAAAAUCGACAACCAAUGAAGAAUGGGAAUAAUCUGAAGAAGUUGCUAUUAAAGAGGAUUCGCCCAUCGCAGGAAGGGACAAAUCUGGAAAUGUUUAUGGCAUUAAAGCAAGAAACCAUUAAAAGAGAGUAUCAGGGGCAUAUUGAGAUCUGGGCUGUGCCACUUCCGGCGGUCCCUGAAGAGGUGAUAAAAGGCAAUGUCGUCAAGGGGUUGAAGCAUUUUAAAUAGGCUGAGGUCCAUAUUGUUAACUCUAAGGGACUUCAAGGAAUUGGCCCAACGUAUUGAAAUCAGGAAUAAAGAAAAGAAACAAGCCCAUUUCAAUUAUGGCCCAUCUAAAAAAAUUAAUUCCUACAGCCCAAGUUCCCUUGACCAUUUUAGUCUAUUCCAUGUUUCCAAUGAAGUCGCGUGCAUUCCUAGAUCAACUGCCAUCACAGUCUGGUGAGUAACAACUAACAAGGGGGUGUUAGAAUUUAAAAAGCUUACAGAUGUUGAGCUCCAAUGGAAAGGGAAGAAAGGAGGUACGGUCAACUACACACUCAUUUCGAUAAGGGAAGUUCAAAAAUUGGACAAUUUAUGGGUAGAUUCGACAGGCUAUAGAGUCGCCUCAGAUACUAUACUUGAGUGAGUUGCUCGAUUAUAUAAGUUCAGUCACUUCGAAAGGCUGAAACGCCUCUUCUUCGCGGUGAUCAAGACUGGAGCUCUUACAAAGGAAAUUGUGCGAUUGUAUGAUGAAUUCAACAGCCUCCACGUUGAAGACAAGGUGGAUUUUGAGGCGGCGGGUAAUGAUAGAUGCCAAACCGAUUCACAUGGUGGCUGCCACAUCUUUGUUAAUCUAGAAGGUUCAAUAGUUAGUUUGUAGGGUCAAAAAUGUAAUAAGUCAAGUAGGGAUUGCUUAUAAAUGGAGAGUUGGGGGUUAGGAAUUAUUCAUUCACGUGUAUGUUGAGUCAAGGGGGAGAGACAAGGCCUCUCGAAUAGCCUGGGAUUUGUUACCAAUUCUGGUCAUUUACUCUUCCAAUAAAAAUUUACUUUGAUUUUUCAUUGUUUAUCAAUUCAAAAGAGCUUCCACUGGUACUGCAGGUUGGGGGUUCUAUCACAAGAUUUUCAAUUAAAAAGGAAAUCGAUUGGUAAAUUCCACUACUACAUACUAAUAAGGAAAAUGAGAAAUCAAUUAACCUUGCACGGGCAAAAAUCAUCAGGAUUUAUAUCAUCAUCCAAACCUUUAGUAGCCUUCAACAUACAGAAAAUCACCAUGGCAUCAACAAUUGAUACCAAAACAUACUGAAAAAACAUGAAUUUUACAAAUACUAAAAGCCCUUGCUAAGAAUGCAAAAAUACCUCAGUCGAAUCCAAGCUUAAACGACCCGAUCUGAAUGAAAUGGGGACAAUGACCUGCAUAUGACUACAAAGGAAACAACCAGCUACCAUCGAGACUAAAGACAACAUUUAAACAAAGAUGAAAAAGCAAGGAACCUCAGAGCAAGAUUUUCAAUUAAAAAACAAAUCGAUAAAUUGUAAAUGAAAAUACCUUCAAUAUCACUCAUCUCCUUUUCAACUUUCACAAGAUAUCCAAGAUACAUACCCAAAAAGUAUAAACGAGUUUAGGUUUUAUAGCCGCCGUGAGAGAGGAGAAACAAAGCUGAGGAGAAUGAAAGGUCUAGGGUUUGAUUUUCUUUCAUUUGCACCAGAGAGCUGCUAGGGUUUAUGAUAAGUUUGGUAAGGUUAUAUGAAUUUUCUUUUGGACGAAAAUAUUUCAGAUUAUUUAGGAAAAUGAAGGUGAAAAUUGACUAUUUAAAAUAUUCUAUAAUUAUACUUUUAUUUAUUACAAUUGAUUAAAUUAAUAAUCCAUUUUUUCGAAUCGGUGAAUUUUUUACGAAUCAAUGAAUAUACUUUUUGCAACGUUUGAUAAAAUUUGUUAAAAGUUUCUCUUUUUGCAACGCUUGAUAAAUGUUGCGAAAGAAAAACUUUUUCGCAACAUUUGAUAAACGUUGCUAAAAGUAAAAAAUUUCGCAAGACUAAAUAAAUGUUACAAAAAUGCAACAUUAGUAAUAUUCACUUAAAAAAUGUUGCAAAAUCUCAAUUAUGAACACCAAUGGCAACAUUCACUAAUUAGAAUGUUGCAAUAGACCCUUUUAACAAUAUUUAAUUAAUGCAUGUUGUUUUUUAUGUCGCAAAAUAGCAUUUUUGUUGUAGUUUUAAGAGUAAAGUUUCAUACAAGGUUACCUUUUAAUAUGUAAUUCAAGAUUCAACAAUAAAUAACAUAAAAAGAAACAAAUUGUAAGGUCACGUAAAUCAUUGUAUAAGUAUUACACAAACAUACAUCUAGAAAAUUUUCAUUGGUUUCACUUUUGAAUAGAACUUCAACUCCCUUGAAAGGGACUAAAUUGGUAAUUAGGAUAACACAGCAUAGAAGGAAGAUUAGAAAAGCCAACGAGGAAAGAGUCGCCUGACCUUUAGAAAGGCCCUAGAUGGAUGCUUAAGUGACCGUCAGGCUCUUUAAAACCUUGCCCCACCUUCCUAACCCCCUGUCAUAGGCUUGCUUCCCUCUGUUUGUUUCUCUUUCUGUGCUUGAAUUUGCUUCAUUUCUCUCAUUCAUUUACGCUCCCUAGCUAUCCUAGUUGGGUUGAAUUUGAACCAAUCAAUCAAGUAUCCUUAUUACGUACAUUCCUCAAAAUUUUCAUAGCUGUUUAAAUUUAAAGGUUUGGAACCAUGCUACAUAUUUUUGAAAGGUUUGGGGAGCUCUACUGCGAAAUUUCCUUAAAACUAAUAUUAUCUAUAAUAUAUUAAGGGUGGUUAUAUUGUUACCACAAUUAUUAUUCGAUAUACCACAUUUUAAUUGUAAUUAAGCUCCUCAAUUUGUGGUCAUUGUAGUAAUUAGCUCAUUAACAUUUUUUCCUUUGAAUUCUUAUUUUCAACCUUCCACUAAUUAUUACGUCUCAUCCUUGAUAAUGAUCUAUAUCAAAAUAUUUUGUUUUUAUGUUAUGCUUUGAAAAGAAGGAAAAAUAAUUUUUUGUACUUUUUAUUUAUUUAAUUUUAAAUAUGAUGAAAAAAUAAGUUUUUUAUGUCAUUUUCAAUAGACUUUUGUAUAUAAAAAUGUUAUUAAUACAAAUUAUGUUAACUAAUGGAAAGUUUAAUGAUAAGAAUGACAUGAAAAUAUUUAGGGAUGUAAGUAUUAUAAUGAGUAAAUAUUAAGAACCAUAAGUGCAAUUACAAGGUGGUGUAAAAAAUAAAAAUUGUGGUGCGAAUAUAAUUACCCAUAUAUUAAUUAUCACAUCAAUUGAAAAUUAUUUUUUUGGACGAUUUUAACCCUACUACAAUUCAAUUAUUUCAAUAAUACCUAAAGUUCGUUUUUCAAUAUGGAAUAGAUACUACAAAAUCCUUGUUAGGUAUGAAUUUCGUGUUAUUAAUUCUCAAUUAAUUAAUAUUCACAUUAAUCUAGACUCAAUAAAUUUUGAGUUGAUGAAUUUCUAUAUACAUGAAGCUACUGUUAUUAUAGAUGACUUUAUUUCUAUAAUGUAUUUAGAAAUUUUAAUGGGUGUUUAAGUUCAUGUAUUAGCAAUUAAUUCUUAUGCAUAAAAUACAGUACAAAAAUGUCAAUUAUACUACUUGAACUUAGUGGUUGACAUUCGGCUUGACUGUGUGAGGUGGAAAAUGGGGUAAAAAAUCGUUUGAAGUUCAAAUUUAAAAAAAAAAAAAAAAAAAACACUUAUACAAAAAAAAUCACUUAUACCCGGUCCAAAAACCAUACCCGUUCAACCCAAAUCGUAACCCUUUUCAUAUCACAAAUUUCCCGAGGAAAUGGUGGGCAAUGGCUGCCCCACCCGGUGUGUUUUCCAUAAUAGCCUUUGACCAAGUUAUUUGUUAAAAAAAAAAAGGGAAAAUGUAAACAAAAUGUGUAGAGUCGAAAAUACCCUUAUUUAGGAAAGAAGAGAAGAGAAAAUAGAGAAAAAAAAAAAGAAAAAAUCUGCUACGGACCGCUCAACGUCGCCUACGGACUUCCCGGACCUCACCAACUUCGACCAAGACCAGAGCCACCUCGAUUCGCCGGAGACCGUCAUUUUCUGGAAGGUUAGACAUGUUUUCUAUAAAUAACUACUUUGAAUUUGUGAAAAUUUGAAUGUUUAGGAUAUGAAUAUGGGUUAAAUUCAUAUUUUUACGAUUAAAAUGUAAGAUAAUAUCGAAUUUGAGGUUAAAAUGUUGAAAAAAAAUGAAAAAAGGGGUGUAGCUCGCCGGAAAUGGAGUUUCCGACGAGCUCCAUCGGUCUGGUCCGUCACGGACCAAACGCUCGUCGGAAUGGUCCGUCACGGACCAUAUGGUCCGCCACGGACCACCGGACCAGGACCAUAUGGUCCGGACCCGAAUUUUGGUCCGGGUCUGGCUAUCUGGCCCAAAUUCGGGUCCGGACCCGGAUUUGGGUCAAAAAUAAUUUUUUUUUUUAGAAUUAUUGUUUUAUUUUUGUAUUAAGAAAUAAAAUGAAAUAUAAAAUAAAUAAUAUAUUCAGAGAAUUAACGAAAUAUUUAAAGAUAAAUUAAAUUGAGUUUUUAUUUUUUUUUCUUUUUUACUUAAAUAUAUGUUUCAGAUAAAUAAUCGAAAUAGAGUAAUUAAAUAUGAAACAAAUAAUAUACAUAAUUAACGAAAUAUCUAAAGAAUAAAUUAAAAAAAUAAUAUUUUUUUUUACUUAACGAAUUAAGAUAAUGAAUUAAAGAAAUAGUAAAAGGAAAAAUCGAAUAAAUGUUAUUCAAAUAAAUAAUCGAAAUAGAGUAAUUAAAUAUGAAAUAAAUAAAACACAUGAUUAACGAAAUAUUAAAAGAAUAAAUUAAAUUGAAUAAUAAUUUUUUUUACCAAACCAAUUAAGAUAAUUAAUUAAAGAAAUAGUGAAACGAAAAAUCGAAUAAAUAUUAUUAUUUUUAUUCAAAUAAAUAAUCGAAAUAAAUAAUAUACAUAAUUAAUGAAAUAUUUAAAGAAUAAAUUAAAAAAACAAUAUUUUUUUUACUUAACGAACUAAGAUAAUGAAUUAAAAAAAUAGUAAAAGGAAAAAUCGAAUAAAUAUUAUUCAAAUAAAUAAUCGAAAUAGAGUAAUUAAAUAUGAAAUAAAUAAUAUACACAAUUAACGAAAUAUUUAAAGAAUAAAUUAAAUUAAAUAAUAUUUUUUGUACUUCACCAAUUAAGAUAAUGAAUUAAAGAAAUAGUAAAAGGAAAAAUCGAAUAAAUCUUAUUCAAAUAAAUAAUCGAAAUAGAGUAAUUAAAUAUGAAAUAAAUAAUAUACAUAAUUAACAAAAUAUUUAAAGAAUAAAUUAAAUUGAAUAAUAUUUUUUAUAAUUCACCAAUUAAGAUAAUUAAUUAAAAAAAUAGUAAAACGAAAAAUCAAAUAAAUAUUAUUAUUUUUAUUUAAAUAAAUAAUCGAAAUAGAGUAAUUAAAUAUGAAAUAAAUAAUAUACAUAAUUAACGAAAUAUUUAAAGAAUAAAUUAAAAAAAUAAUAUUUUUUUUGCUUAACGAAUUAAGAUAAUGAAUUAAAGAAAUAGUAAAAGGAAAAAUCGACUAAAUAUUAUUCAAAUAAAUAAUCGAAAUAGAGUAAUUAAAUAUGAAAUAAAUAAAACACGUUAUUAAUGAAAUAUUUAAAGAAUAAAUUAAAUUGAAUAAUAUUUUUUUUACCUAACCAAUUAAGAUAAUUAAUUAAAGAAAUAGUGAAACGAAAAAUCGAAUAAAUAUUAUUAUUUUUAUUCAAAUAAAUAAUCAAAAUAGAGUAAUUAAUUAUGAAAUAAAUAAUAUACAUGAUUAACGAAAUAUUUAAAAAAUAAAUUAAAAAAUAAUAUAUUUUUUACUUAAUGAAUUAAGAUAAUGAAUUAAAGAAAUAGUAAAAGGAAAAAUCGAAUAAAUAUUAUUCAAAUAAAUAAUCGAAAUAAAGUAAUUAAAUAUGAAAUAAAUAGAACACAUGAUUAACGAAAUAUUUAAAGAAUAAAUUAAAUUGAAUAAUAUUUUUUUUACCUAACCAAUUAAGAUAAUUAAUUAAAGAAAUAGUGAAAUGAAAUAUCGAAUAAAUAUCAUUAUUUUUAUUCAAAUAAAUAAUCGAAAUAAAUAAUAUACAUAAUUAACGAAAUAUUUAAAGAAUAAAUUAAAAAAAUAAUAUUUUUUUUACUUAACGAACUAAGAUAAUGAAUUAAAGAAAUAGUAAAAGGAAAAAUCGAAUAAAUAUUAUUCAAAUAAAUAAUCGAAAUAGAGUAAUUAAAUAUGAAAUAAAUAAAACACAUGAUUAACGAAAUAUUUAAAGAAUAAAUUAAAUUGAAUAAUAUUUUUUUUACCUAACCAAUUAAGAUAAUUAAUUAAAGAAAUAGUGAAACGAAAAAUCGAAUAAAUAUUAUUAUUUUUAUUCAAAUAUAUAAUCGAAAUAAAUAAUAUAUAUAAUUAACGAAAUAUUUAAAGAAUAAAUUAAAAAAACAAUAUUUUUUUUACUUAAUGAAAAUUAAAGAAAUAAUAAAUGGAAAAAUCGAAUAAAUAUUAUUCAAAUAAAUAAUCGAAAUAGAGUAAUUAAACAUGAAAUAAAUAAUACACAUAAUUAACGAAAUAUUUAAAGAAUAAAUUAAAUUGAAUAAUAUUUUUUGUACUUCACCAAUUAAGAUAAUGAAUUAAAGAAAUAGUAAAAGGAAAAAUCGAAUAAAUAUUAUUCAAAUAAAUAAUCGAAAUAGAGUAAUUAAAUAUGAAAUAAAUAAUAUACAUAAUUAACGAAAUAUUUAAAUAAUAAAUUAAAUUGAAUAAUAUUUUUUGUACUUCAUCAAUUAAGAUAAUUAAUUAAAGAAAUAGUAAUACGAAAAAUCGAAUAAAUUUGUAAAUAAUAUAUAUAUAUAUAUAGUCAGAUAAUUAACGAAAUAUAAUUUUUAAAUAAAUAUUAAAUAGUCAAAUAUGUGGAAAUUUUUUGUUUAACUGCUUUAAUAUGUGAUUGGAUGAAUUUAUUUAUUGGUUUAUUAAUAUGAAAUUUGAUUGGUUAAAUUUGAAGGUACGAUAUUUUAUUUAUAAUUUCUUUUAUAUGGUUUUAACAUGUAUUAAUUUUGUAGGAUGGAAUAUCAUAUGGACAACGAUCUGAGGGCUCAUUUGGGAAAAGUUACGACGUAUUGUAAUUUUUCUAGCUAUGCGACAGUGCUUGAGGGGCUAGACGAGGAGCAUAUUGACUUACUCUAUCGAUCGUUUUUAUGGUCGUUCUAUCCGUUGAAGGACGUGCAGUUCUCUGGACAGAUUAUUGAUUCUUUAUUACUCCGGCUGCUUAAACCAGUCGAUGGCGAUCAGCUAUAUUUUGCUAUGGGGGACGGGAAGGUAUCGAGAUUCUCGAUCCUUGAAUUUGCCCUGAUUACAAGCUUGAGAUGUACCGGGGAAGAAGAAGCUAGAGCCCGUAUUAUACCAAAUAAAAGGUUAUUGGAUUUAUAUUUUGGAGGUAAAGGGCCAGUUACACCACCACAGUUAGAGGACGCAUUUAGGAAAUGCGAUCACAUGUUAGACAAGUUGAAGUUAUGAUUGGUGUAUAUACUGGAGAGUAUAUUGAGGUGUCGACAUCGUAGGACAUCGAUCGAUCUUUUUUCAUUGGAUGUUGUUGAUGAUAUCGAUACUUUCAACAAAUUUCCAUGGGGUCGGAGAUGUUACACCGAUACUCUCCAUGUAUUCUGAAUGGUACAUACUAUGCCGAAAUCGGAGAGGGGUGAUCGCAAAUAUGAUGUAUAUGGCUUUUGCAUGGCUUUGCAGGUAAAUAUUCAGUGUAACGUAAUGCGUGUUAAAUUUUUUUAUUAAAUGUAUAUGUAAAGUUUUAUUUUGUAAUUGUUGUAGUUGUGGGCAUAUGAGGCUAUCCCUGCUUUGGGUAGCAAAUGGGCGAUCAGAAGGGAGACCAGCUGCCCACGAAUGCUUCAUUGGCGAGCACGUGAAAAGCCAUCGGCUAAAGAUUUGACAGUUAUCCUCGACGAUCCUCAGGUGAGUAUUAUAUAUUUGCAAUUUAUAUUGUACAUACAUUUACUCGGCUCGAUACAUGCUCGUUAACACGUUGAAAUACGAUAUGUCAGCUCGAAGUUCAUGCUGAGUUGGUUGUUUUGGUGGAAGAGGAGGAUGCAAUAUAUGUACGUGAAUUACUUGUUCCACCUACUGAAAACGAUCCAGUAUUUAAGUCCGUUCCGGAUAGAAAUAUAGUACGUUUAUUUAAGAUCAUUAUUUAUUUUGACUUAUAAAUUCAUGUGUGGAUUAUUAAUAUUAAUUGUCUUCUCUGUGUAGGAGCGUCAUCCGGAACUUCCACUUAGGAGAUCUCCUUCGCCUCCACCGAUGAGAUCUCCAUUGCCUCCACCGAUGAGAUUACCUAUGCCGUCAUUAUCUCAUUCUCCGAGGAUAUCUCCGUCUCCCGUACCCACCCACCUCCCACGUGGAUCGCCUACACCCAGUCAGACCCGUCAUUCAGAUGAUUUCUUUGCACGCAUGACUGGCAUUAUUAGAGAGGAGCUGGGAACGAUGCGACGUGAUUUUAUAACAGAGGUAGUCGCACUACGAGAGGAUAUAGGGGUGUUGCGACGGGAUUUUACGACAGAGAUUGUCGCAGUACGAGAGGAGAUAGGGAUGCUGCGACGAGAUUUUACGACAGAUGUAGUAGCUUGCGAGAUGAGAUUGGAGUGCUACGACGAGAUAUAGGAGACCUUCAUACUGAGGUUGCAGCACUUCGAGGCGAUGUAGCAGGCGUCCGAGGGAAUGUCGGGGAGACUAGUGUUCCUCGAGAUUGGUGGGCAACGACCGCAAGAAACGAUGAGUUUUUUGGUUCGGUGCCGGAGGUCGGGCAGAAGGAGCCGGAGGAGGUCGAGAUGCCCGGGGUGGAGGUCUUAGAGGAGGCCGAGAUAGAGGGGGUGGAGGGAAGGACAGGGGUGGCCGAGGAGGUAGCAGAGGGGACAUCAGAGGUGGUAGUAGAGGGGGAUGAUCAGGUUGCGGAGGACGAGAGGACGCCAGAUAUGACGGAUGACGAGGUAGUAUUCGUGUCGGAGGGGGCGACGGAGGUCCCGAAGGGUAAGAAGCGUGCUACUGACGCACCAGAGCUGAUGGUCGGUAAGAGAUCAAGAUUGCCGUCACAUUACAUCGUUUCUCCAUACACGGCCGAGGUGAAGAGAAGGGGGUUUGUGGAUGGAGCGUUCCCCAAUCUUUUUCGCGACGUCGACCCAAUCAGACAGAAAGCGUUCGAUGAUUGGUUCAAAUCCCUUAAGUCCGAGUAAGUAUUUUAUGAUUUUGCUACUUUUUUUUGUAUUUUUCGUAACUGUUUUUUCAUUUUUCAGAGAUAGUUAUACCAUCGGCUGUAUGACCGUGCCCAAUGCUAAAAAGUGGUUUGAAGAUGUACUGACGACCUCAGCUUGGCUCGCUAAUGAUGUAAGUUUUUUGAGUUUCCGUUUAAUAUAUUUAUAGAAGUUGUUAGUUCAUUUACUUAAAUGACUCUAUCUUUUUUGUUGGUUUUUUUUGUUUCAGCAUAUCGACUUGGCUAUGGAAUUGUUACGCGAUCGGGCGCGGAGAUACCCGAGAUCUUAUGACAGUCCUAGUCGAGUUAUCCCGAGCUCUGAGUUCGUUCGUGUCGUAGAUAUUGAGUAUCACGAGCUCCUAAGCAAGGGGAAUGAUUAUGUUCUAUCUAAGUACAUGCUGGAGUGGGUGAUUGGACUACAGUUGAGUGCGGAAAGUCGUGGACGGAUUGUACACAUAUGUACAUUCCAGUGAUCGCGAACUCACACUGUUUUUCGGUGGAGAUCGUAUUUGCUGAUUCCACCAUAUAUGUGUACGACUCUGAUCAUAGCUGUCUGACACAAAGUCAACUGAAGCCAUUGGCUGUGAUCGUGCCCAUGAUGGCUAGUCAUGCGAUGAUUCGAGUAAAUGAUAGAUUAGUCAUUGUGCGGAACAUGACGACGGCGAGACAAGAAAGAUCGUAAGGAUUUACAACUUUUUAAUUUUCAGAUUUAAUUUUCAAUUAUAUGUUAUGGAACUAAUAUAUUCUACUUCGGUUGCAGGGGUGACUGUGGCUUAUUUGCAAUCAAGUACAUAGAGUUCUUGAGCAUUGGUCGCAAUGUUGAUACAAUAAAUCAGUCUUGGAUUGAUAUGUGGAGGCAUAAAUUAACUUGCGACUUGUAUGAAUAUAACUGUGAUCCUUAGUACAUUGUAUAUUAUUUUAUUAAAAUGUAAAUGUUGUUUACAUCAGUAGGAUUCGUGUUGUACUGAAAGAAAUAAAUAAUCGAAAUAGAGUAAAUUGUAUGAUAUUUUUUUGAAAAUGUAAAUUUUUUUUAUUUAAUUGUGACUCAAAUUUUUAAUUUAAUUGUAUAUUUAUUGUAAUUUUUUAAUAGUUGAUCUGGAUCAUAUAAUGAUAAUCGGGAAUUAAAUGGACUCAAUCGGAUGCAAUUGGAAAAAAAAUGACCGAUUCAUGUAAUAUUUGGUUCGAAAAAAGCUUUAAAAAUUUUGGGGAUCUAAUUGCAACUUUUUAAUAGUUGAUUCGAACUAUAAAACGAUAAUCAAGAAUUAAAUGGACUCAGUUGGAUUCAAUUGAAACAAAGAUGACUGAUUCAUUUAAUGUUUGGUUGAAAAUGACUUUAAAAAUUUUGGGGACCUAAUUGCACAUUUUGGGGACCAAUUAAGAUAAUUAAUUAAAGAAAUAGUAAAAUGAAAAAUCGAAUAAAUAUUAUUAUUUUUAUUCAAAUAAAUAAUCGAAAUAGAGUAAUUAAAUAUGAAAUAAAUAAUAUACAUAAUUAAAGAAAUAUUUAACGAAUAAAUUAAAUUGAAUAAUAUUUUUUUUACUUAACCAAUUAAGAUAAUUAAUUAAAGAAAUAGUAAAAUAAAAAAUCGAAUAAAUAUUAUUAUUUUUAUUCAAAUAAAUAAUCGAAAUAGAGUAAUUAAAUAUGAAAUAAAUAAAACACAUGAUUAACGAAAUAUUUAAAGAAUAAAUUAAAUUGAAUAAUAUUUUUUUUACCUAACCAAUUAAGAUAAUUAAUUAAAGAAAUAGUGAAACGAAAAAUCGAAUAAAUAUUAUUAUUUUUAUUCAAAUAAAUAAUCGAAAUAGAGUAAUUAAAUAUGAAAUAAAUAAUAUACAUAAUUAACGAAAUAUUUAAAGAAUAAAUUAAAUUGAAUACUAUUUUUUUUACUUAACCAAUUAAGAUAAUUAAUUAAAAAAAUAGUAAUCUCUCCAUAUUGUUAGUUAAUAUAUAUCGUUAUCUCACUUGUUUUAAAAGAAAACAAACAAACACAUGACACAUAGAAAAUACAUAUGACAAAUGUGAUAAAGAUUAAAAAGAGUAAUUAAACAAUGUGAUAAAGAUUACAUCCGAUUUAAAUUCAGAAAAUCACAAACACAUGACAAAUAGAGAAUACAUAUGAUUUAUAUAGAUACUACACAUCCGUCGAGUCAUCGUUUAGUGGGAUCUAACUUGUACAAAAUCGACGUGUAUGUCCUGUAGCGCUGCUCCUCCUGCACUUACGCGGUUGUGGAAACUCUCCUAUAGAUGGUAUUCUAGACGUCUGUCUACGACCCGGAGUAUGCGGUGGAGCUUCAGGUGGCAACAAAUUAUUAAGUGCUACAAUAUAAUUAGGAACUUCCCACUCGGCUUCAUUUGGUAAAGGAAAUAUAGUUUCGGCAUACGCUGCUCUCCAAAAAUCAGUCAUAUAAUAAUGACUGCACAAGUUGUGUGGUGGAAAUCCUCUAUACAUAGCCACUGCAACAGCAUGUGCACAUGGAAAACUUUCCAACUGAAAUUUUCUACACGUGCAGGUAUUGUCAUUCAAGUCUACAAUAUAUCCAACAUUAUGCUCUCAUCUCACGGAGAAGCGAAAUUGAUCUAGUGGUUCCACAAAUAGAGCUUUUGCCACUUCCAGAGUUUUGAAUAGUCGAUCUUCCUGUGCCGGAGCUAGCACACUCGUGCAAUUUUGGGAUUCUUCACGUCGAUCAUAAAACCACUAUUGCAACUUGCUACGAAUAUGUUCAAUCAUUGCGAGAAUCGGUAACUCUCGAUCCUUUUUGAAUAAUGCAUUGAGCGACUCUGUAUUAUUCGAAGUCAUCAUGUUGUAUCGACGUCCUGGAAAAUGUGACCGUGCCCAAUGUUCGACCCCCAUAUCUGAUAGAUAUUCCCAUGCACUUUCUGAUUUAUGUUCUAUUUCGCCCAUGAACUUUGUAAACUCUUCAAAGCUGUAAGCUUCUGCAGCUCUCCUAAACAAUGCAACGAUGCCACUGCCCCGGUACGUAGUCUUCUGUGGUACAUGUAAUAACCAUGAUGUACUUCUGGAAAAAUUUCGGCUAUACCAUUUAUUAUUGACUGCCCCCGAUCAGUCACAAAUGCAAGGUUCUCGAUGUUCCCAAUUACUUCUCUCAGCUUCGUGAAGAACUAACGCAUUGCUAGAUCAUUCUCUCCAUCGACAAUGCCAAAUGCAAUAGGGUAAAUUUGGAUAUUAGCAUCUUGACAAGUAGCAAUAAUCAACUUUCCUUCAUAUCUAGCUUUUAGGGUUGUACCAUCAACUAGAAUUAGAGGUCGCAUCGCAUUUCGAAAACCUCUAAUGCAUUGUCCAAGAGCCAUAAAAAAAUACUUGAAGCCAUUCUGCCCAUCAGUUUCAAUAAAAAACGUCGAGUCAAAAUUAGUUCUCACCAUGUUGUGGCAAUACCUGGCCAAUUUGGCAUAACACUCCUCUAUCGAACCCAUUAAAUCUUCCAAUGCACAUUCUUUAGCCUUCCAGGCCUUCUGGUAACUCAUAACCAUCCUAUACUCUCGACGGAUGUCGUUGAUGAUAUCUGUAGGUCUGUAAAUCGUCCGUGGAUCCUAAAACUUGUGCAUUAUCUGUCGACCAAUAAACCAUGAUCGAUCUUGCCUGUGAUCAUUUUGACGAAUAUCCACUUCACAAGUAUAUUCCCGCGCAUACUUACGAACAACAAAGAACUCAUUUGUGUCCAUCUUUGUCGCACUCAAACGCCAACUGCAAUUGUUGUCCACACAAAUAAUUGUGUAUGUAGACUUGUUUGAUUUUUUUACCUUAAACUCAAAAUUAUGUUUCAUUGCAAUUCGGUGCACGGCUUCUUGCAAAUCUCUUUUCGUGUCAAACAAUUGAUCGACAUGUAUAUCUUCAUCAUCAGGAACUACACGCGAACAAUUAGAAGACCGUGUACUCGGCCCAGCAUGUGAGCUCUCACCAGACUCAUGUCUCUGUCUGGAUAAAGCAAUCAAAUCUUGAUUUGUAAAUGGCCUUUCAUCCUCGUUGUCUUGAACUUCCUCGUAAAUCCUUCGUGUAACGGCGACAUCAUGGUGAGUAGCAACUGCCCCAAGGAUAACCACAUCAUCCUCCCGAGCAAUCUCAACAGUAUCCCAAAAAUCAUUCUCAUUAUGAUCCUCUCCAUCAAAAACUUCGUGUUCUCCCUCAAUGACAUUUUUCUUCAACAAACUUACGCAAAUAGCAGUCGUCUUUCGACCUUGGUUCAAUUGAAUUAGAUGCUUUAUUUGCGCUUCAGAAGUAACUUUCAAAGGUGGAAUCGAAAUUGUUGAAUGCUUUUGAAAUAAAAAUCCCAAUUCCAUAUCUUACUGAGAGGAAUUUACGUUAAGCAUGUUUUGUAUUUCACUGUACAUUUCUGUAAACGAAGUAUUUUUUGUUAUCAAAAUAGCAGCAACCCCUUCUCCUUCACUCGUCCAUUUCCAUUCCCAUUGACCAUUUUCUUUCCUUUGAAAUUCAUCGAAAUAACAGAUUGGGACACAUGCUUUUGCCAUAUCUGCAUUACGAAUUAAAAAUAUCAGAACAAAUUAUCAAAAAUAAAAUUAUCAAAAUCGAGGGGCGGGGGAGUCUGCAAAUGGACGGUCCGAACUGCCCGGACCAUUACGGACCGUCCGUUUACUCCGGACCGUCCAUUCGUCCGUUAUCGAACGAGUUUCGACGUCAGAUCGGUGCCGGCCUGAACUUGGCUCUAAUAUUAUUUUUUCUACCAUUUUAAAAAUAUAUACGACUUCAAUAAAAAUAAAAUUAAAUACUAGGAAAAGAUACUUACCGAAUUGAAGUGCUGAAAUUUAACGAAAUUUUUCUGUCGAGGUUGAUAACUGAUAAGUUUAUGAAAUUUUGAGGUUGAAGUGGAUGAAAAAUGAAAGAGUUUUUAUCGUGUCAGAGUAAACUGAUGAAAAAAUGUUAGAGUAAACUGAUGAAAAAACUGACUUCGUUUUCAAAUUUCAAUUGAGAGGUGUUUGGAUUUUUAUUUGUAACUUAAGGAUAUUUUUGUCUUUUUACCAUAUUUCUAUUUUUGUAAUUAUAUAACUCAUUUAAGGGCGUUUUUGUCUUUUACACAAGAAAUGGCCAUUGUGGUGAAUGUUAGAUUUUUUUGGUUAAAAUGUAAAAUGGUUGGUUUAACAAAGCCAAACUUAAAAGUACCCCUACAAUUUCCCUCAUAUUGUCCCAAAUCAGUAACUCAUGUGUGCGGCGCCGAUUGAUACCAUCUCCAACUCCUCAAUAGAGACAUCCUUGAAAACCAUGGAAUCCAUGUUUUCAAAAUACUCGAUCUUCCAUUUCCGAGACAUUCAGCCACUUUUCGUUGAUUUGCAGCCGCUACCGCCCAUCUUUUCUAACCAAAUUUGGAGAAAAUUCAAGUAUAUAUGUAUGUAUAUUUAGCGAAAAACAACUAGAUUCGAUCACAAAGAUGCAUAUGUAGAUAUAUUAAGUGAAAAUCAACUAGAUUCACUCACAAAGACUGCAGCUUUGAGGGUGGAAUUGUAGGAGAUUUUGGUGAAAUUUGUAGGAGCCCGUACUGUUGUUUUUAGAUUUUUUUUUUUUUUGGUUCAAAAUCGUGGUUAAAAAAAAAAACUAUACCCAAUUAUUGAUCCGUUCAUGUUAUUUGCAAAAAUUUUUGUUUCAAUAAUCUUUAAUCACUAGUGCAAUUGCAGUGUUUUUCAAAAAUUAGUUCGUUAUGGCUAAGUUUUUAAAGUGAAUUUUUUUAUAUUUGUGAAACUUGAAAAUAGCAUUGUGUGGAAGAAAGAAAAAAAUAUUUAUUGAAACAUGUUUUGUAAAAAAAAAUUAUUAGUUGUUUCAGGUUUAGAAGAACAGUAGGCAUGACGCUUUUGAUUAUGUCAUUAGGUUUUCAUUUGUUUAUAUAUAUGGUGUGGUUAUCAUUUUGUUUGGUGUUUGAUUCCUAGCUUAAAAUGAGAUGAAAGAAUUAUGGAGUCUGUCAUAGCUAUAAAUUGAAGGGUCAUUUUUUCGCAGAAUGUCCAAACAAACGACCCUGCCCAUGGUACAAACUUGUCGUUUCAAAGUGCUUCGAGGUGGAGAAGAACACCGACAACAAAGGUAAACUAUUCAAUACGUGCAACGUGAAAUGUGGUUAUUGGGAGUUGGUGAAAGAUGAGGAAACGACUGCUGAAUAAAGUUCAAUCACUAGUACUCAAGAUUUGUCUUGCAUUUUCGAAAUACGAUGCUGGUUAACUGAUGAAUAAGACAUGGAGAUUGCUAUGAAUGUGACUAUACGCAGAGGAAGAGAGCACGUCACUAGAUGGGAUAAGAAUGGAAAUUCACCGGCCUAAGCUGAAACAUUGUCGUUUGACUAGGGAUGUCAAAACAGCUCAAUGACUCGGGCAGCUCGUGGCUCGGCUUAGGAAAAGCUCGAGCCGGCCCGACUCAUGGCUCGGAUGAAGCGAGCCUAGGCUCUGGUCGAGCCCCAUUUUGGGGCGUUGGCCCGAGCCGUAGCCGACUCGUUUUGGCCCGUGACAAGGCCCGCCCGAAAUUUAAAGUUUAAUAUAUAUAUAUAUAUAUAUAUAUAUAUAUAUAUAUAUAUAUAUGGUCUAACAGAUAGCCUUUAUAGUUGCCUAUAACGGGCAGAUAAUGCUGCCUUAAGGCAGCUAUAAAGCUACCAUUAGAGGCAGCUAGGUGCUGCCUUAAGGCAGCCUAGCUGACAAAUAAAAAAUUCGUUAAAUUGUCUGAUUUUCUACUGUAUUUUAUAAUUCAAUUUACGAGGUUCAUAUUUGAAAUUCAAAUUUCAAAUUUGGAGUUAAAAAUUGAUUUUUUGGCUAUAAAUAUGGGGUAAAUUUUUAAAUUUCAAAUCAAUUUGUUUCAAUCGAUUUGAAGUUGGGUUAUAAGUUGUAAUUUUUAUUUAAUUUGCAAUGCAAUUUUAUAAGUUAUAAUUUUAUUUGAUUUGUUACUCGUAUAAAUUAUACAAUUUUUAAUUUUUUUAAGAAAAUGUUAGAUUCGUAAUUUUGUAAAAAAAAAGAAAAAGAGCCGGCCCGGCUAGGCUCAACAAGCCCCGAGCCUUGUUUUUUCGACCGAGCUUUUGCUCGGCUCGGCUCGGGCUCGAAAAAAGCUCAAGCCGAGCCUGAGCCUCGAGUUUCGGCUCGGCUCAUUGACAUCCUUACGUUUGACUAAAAUUGUAAUUUCAAUUAUGUAAAUAUAUGGAAUUGUAAACUUGAUAUCGGGUAUUGUGGAUGCUAGGAUCUUGGAAUUUUGAUUCAGUGAUUUGAAUUUCUUAAAAUCAUGUUCAACUCUGUUUAGCUAUUUGAGAUGUUUAUUUCUUUGUGCUCUACUUCCUGUUUCAUUCCAACAAUGAAAUCCAAAGUAAAUUGUAACAAACUACACAAUAAAGGAAGUACACUUAAGAACUUUGAAAGAGAUCAAGUUUAAAAUUACAUUUAUUUAUACAAAAUCCAAAAUACAAGCACAAAACAACUACUGAAGAACUAAAAUGUCAAUAGCACUUGUCUCCAUCAAAAUCAUCCAUUUUCGAACAGCUAUAAUGCCUAGAUUAUACAUAACCAGCAAUAUCGAACAACUAUCAUGAGUAAUACACGUCCAGCUAUAUGCCUAGAGCUCAUAUGCUGGGGUUGAUAAUCUUAUAGAAGGUCCAACUUCUACAAGUGCAUCUGUAUUUCCUCCAUCAAAAUGAAUUUCUAACUAUCAUAUUUCAUUUCUAGUAGAAUCAUUCAUAUGUCUUCUACCCAGACCUUCAAAAUAAUGAAUGUACUUAAUGAAUAAUGUUUGCAAAUCAUUAUGUUCAUUAUAACAACUAUGUUACCUUGCAUAUUGAAUAGUUGACGAUGGAGGGUUGAUACAUGUGGACUGCAAGUGUUGUGUGAAUUGAAGAUUUUGGUUGCCACCCUACAUGAAAUAACAAUAUCAGUAAAUCAUAUAUUUUCGUUGAAACUAAAUCAUACACGAAUGCUAACCAUAACGAGGUGUGUAUAUGAGAAAGAUAGCGACAUGUGUAAUUGUUGAGGUGACUGAAUGAUGGGUGCAACAUUUCCCAUAUUACUUGUGCAAACCUUCGGUUUCUUCCCUUUGGUUAAACUCGAAGUUGCCUGCAAAACACGGAAUGGUAUUAGACAUUAUCUCUAUAAUGACUUUACAACAUUUGGAUACCAAAAUUUGGGCAUUACCUUAACUUUGUUCGAACUCGAUUCCAAUGGGCCCUUCUUCUGAAGUUUCUUAGGGGCACUUUUUCUUUUUGCAUUUUCUAGAUCCCUUAUGCUACCAUUUCUAGGGAUGGCAACGGUUCGGUUCGGCCAAAACCAUCACCGAACUGUCAAAUUUUUUGUCACACCAUAACCACAUAAAUCGGUUCGGUUAAUAACCACGAAAAUAAAUUAUUUUUUAUAAGUUCAUCCGUCAAAUUGAUAUAAAAUAAUUUAUGAAAAGAGAGUCAAUGAAAACAAAAACACAAUAUUCCAAAUGAAAAUGCAAACAUUAUUCCAAAUUCCAAUUGCAAAAUUCAAAUUUAACAAACAAUAUUAUGAAUAUAACAAUACUAAACUUUUUCUUCAUUCUUGAUUCUUGUCCAUUGCAGUUACUUGAUUCAUGCUCAAUAAUUCAAAAGCUUCAACCUUAACUCAUAUUCAAUCUUCAUUCUUCCUCACAACUCUUACUAGCAUAGGUCAGCACUCAAAAUUGAUUUCUAUAUAUCUCUUUGUCAAUUUCUUCCUCACUAAACAUUACCAUCCCUCAUAAAAGAAUUAUUUUUUUUAAGCGGGUAAUCGGUUCAGUUUCGGUUCGACGACAUAAAUACCAUACCUGCACCGCCACGAAUUGGUUCAUUAAAAUCAAAUAUUAUAUUCGUCCCAUUGCACCAUCGAUUCGAUUUUUUUCGCCCUAUUUGGUUCGGUUAACCGCGGUUUUUGAUUUUAACGGUUCAAAUUACCAUCCUUAUCCAUUUCUAAUAUCCUGUGAUGUUCCACAGUUGGAUGAUAUCUGACUAAUAUGUGGGGACAGGACAUUACUAUUACUACUUAACUUCAACGUCAUCAUCUAUUUACAUUGAUUAUCAAUCCAAUCAAUUAUGGCAUGGGAUUUGACUUCAUUAUCUGCAGUCAUGUCCCACAAUGUUGCCAAGCUUUAACACAUUUUGUCAUACCUCAAUUGUACAGGAAUACUAACCAAACCAUCAUAAUUCACUGCUAACCUCAUGUGGGUUCUACUGAUAUCUCAUCCCUAUCUCUGUAGUAUAUAUCUUUUCGGUACUAAUUUAACAUCAUUACAAAUCAAUACUACGAUUGUAUGUUUGCAAAUAAUCCCUUGAAACUCAAAAUUGUGACAACUGCAGGUGAUUUCACAUUUGUCUCUUUGCAAUGAGACGAAAAAGGUUUUUUCUUAGAAUGCUUGUCAUGUAUUACGUCUUCUCGUAUCUCAUAAGUCACUCCUAGUAAUCCCUUCGAAACAGAUACGAUUUCACAAUAUACCUUAUCUGUGAACUUCUCUUGAACUUCAUUAAACUUUGAAAUCGUGAAAACUGCUUGGAAUUACUUCUCCAUUUUAUAUUUCGUUGCGCAUUGUACCAUUUGCGAGAAGGACUUGAAGUCUGUUUGAAACUCCUUUUCAACCUUAUGUCUCAAUACUUAUUCGUAUUAUUCAACAAAUUGUUUCGAUGUCGUCUUCGAAUGUACAUAACCAUCAAAGUUGUUGACAUCCCUGCCGAAAAUGUGGUUUACAUAUAGCAAGAUACCCAACAUUCCAUGUUCUCAUACAAACCCACCAACCAUUCAUUAUCAUACAAGUUAAACGUUUCGAUCAUCACUCUCCAGCCAUUUUCGAAUUCUUCCACAAAUUGACAAUCUAGACCAAACCGAGUAGAGUAGUAAAUAUUGAACCCUUAUACACAUGGUAUCCAAACUUCUUAGACAACUUCUUCAAUAUGUUCCACAAACACCAUCUAUGAUUUGUACUGGGGAACACGAUUUGGAUUGCAUUUUGCAUAGCCUUGACGUGAUCUGUAAUUAUCCCAUGUAGAGCUUGUCCGUGCAUGAAUUGUACAGUGCUUGCAUUUUAGAGAAGUGUAAUUGUAUUGCUGUUGUGUCCCCUUCUUCAAGUCUUAAUCGCCUAACUUUUUCAACAUAGUUUCAACAAUCCUUUUUUAUAUAAGUCAUAUUCUAAUAUCCACAUGCUUCAACAACUGCAGAGUUGUAACUCUUGUGCAACGGAAUUCCUGCAAUGCCAUUUACUUCAAGUUAUCGUUUUGCAUGUGCACUCAACUCUCGGCUGCAUGAUAUAGUCUAGAUUUUGAAGGGCUUGUCUAAUGAUUGUGGUCAAGGUAUACUAUGUUAAUUCUCCAUAUUCCGCAAAUAUAUGAAGAUGCAUUGAUCCUAGUUUUACAUCCACUUUGAAUGGUUGCUUGCGACUUCAAAGAACCACUUGUAUUGCUGAUUAUUUUCCCUUUAUGACUACAAAUAAAUGUAAUAUAUCUCAAUGCUCCAUCAUCAUCAUUUCUCGAAUUUCUUUUUCUAAUUGGGAAACUAAUUUCGUAUGCAUAUCUUUUGUAAAACUCAAACAUUUCAUUUUCAUCAUUAAAUUUCAUACUCACCUCAGGAACAAUCACACCAUCUCCAACUAACAAAUCAUCACCUAGUAUGUUUGUAUUAUCCACAACAUUAUUAUUAUCGGACUCCACCAAUAUAAUGUCAUCCACAUAUUUCAAAAUUUCUUUCAAAUCAAUUACAAUGUCGAAUAAUGUACGACGAGAAAAUAAUUUAACUAACGAUAAUUCAAACUUAACAUACUGAGAAAAUCACAAAACAAAUUCCCUAAAUCUGAACGAUAAUUCAAACUUAACAUUAUGCAGUAACCGUAGUUAAAAUGAAAAAAUAAAUUCCCUCAGUUAAUGACAGAACAAAUCCCCUAAAUCUUACACUAGAGUCAUGAAGUCAUACUAUUGCAAAACAGCAGAAAUCUUACACCAAAAAACUGCAAAAUCAUUAAACCAUUCAUAACAAUGAAAUAAAUAACCAAUGCAAACCAAUACCUUUUUUAGUCAUCUCUCAGCUGAAUGAUGUUAGGUCUAGUGGAUAUGUAGCCAGAUGUUGGAUGCUAGCUUUUCCCCUAUUUUUUACAUCGUCGGCGAAUGGUCUAAAAACAAUAAAUAAAUAAAUAAAUUAGUGAAAAUUCUCAGUAAUCCUUCAUGUUCAUGUGUAAAGACGAAAAAAGGGCCGUGGAACAGAUGUAACUACUUACGAUUCUUGAAGAAACCCAAAACUUGACAUGAUUCUCAGUCUCUGGAAAGCACUUCAAGCCAUCAAAAAUGGGUAUUUCGAAAUCUCGAUCACAUGAUAGAAAGAGAUGUAGACGGGUUUCUCUUCAAGCCACCGAAAGUGGGUAUUUCCCAAAUCUAGUCACAAGAGAGAAAGAGAUGCAGUCGGGUUUCUCCCCAUGUGGUGGUCUGAAAAUCGUGCCAAAAUUGCCCUAGAAUGAUUUUUCCCGACUUGUCUGCAUAAUAUGAAGUAAAAUGGUUAGUUGAAGGCGUGACCCAAUUGAAAUAAGUUUCCUUUUCUUUUCUUUUUUAUUUUUUACCCCAUUUUCCACUUUAUGCGGUCAAGCCGAGUGUCAACCGCUAUGCUCAAGUAGCAUAACUGUAAAAAAAAUUGCUCAUUUGUAUUAUUUCGUCAUCACAAAAAAAAUUUGAAAUUGUAAAGGUUGAGUUUUAAGAGUAUAAUUUUCUUCUCUUAAAAUUCUAUCCUAAAUUUUAUUUUCUUUAAUUCAUUUGAGACUCAUCAAAUUCUCCCAACAAAUUGGUAUCAAAUAUUAAUUUUACAACACUUAUAAAAUAUUUCAAAAUAACGUGCAAUACACGUUCAACUUUGACUAGUACACAUUAAAAGAGAAAACAUUUUAAAAAUAAAUAAAAAUCAUUAUUCUAAACAAUUAUAUAAAAAAAUUUGUUUCCACAAUUAUUUAUGAAAGUAAAUUAAAUUCUUAGUUGAAAACAAUUUUUCAUUUCUCAACAAUAUGCUCACUUGAUUUCUUGAUUUACAUUCAUUUUCUAUUAAUAAAAUUAGAUCAAUUUUAUAGCACGAUUACUUCUACAUAUUAAAAUAGACAAGAAAAAAACCCUUAAAAUUGAGUAUAAAAUAAAAAUUAAAAAAAGGUCGAGCGAUGUCACAUCGAAGUGAAAAAGUGAAUUCGCCAUCAAUCUUAAACCCUCUAAAAGGGGUGAAUACGUGAGAACGUUCUAUUUUGCAUUUUGUCCUUGUGAUUUUUUUACCUAUAGUCAACUAUACCUUCAACAUGCAUCAAUUUAUAGUAAACAUGAUUAACUUCUACUCCAUUGAAUACAAUUUUCACUAAUUAUUAAUAUUAUUGCUUUUAAAAAAUAAAUUAAUACUAUACACAUAUGGUUGGUUAACCUUUAAAGAAUUAUCGUAUGCAAUGAAAAGUGAAUAAACGUUUGUGAAAAGCUCUAGAUACCACUUGACAGUUACUGGAUACUGUUAAAAUGUUAUAGAUUAUAGAUUAGUUUGACCUUACGUACGAAAUUAUUCUAUUAAAAGCAACAAAUCAAUUUUUAAUAGUUUCUAGAUGGAUAAACAUAUAAGUCCAACAUGUACUAUGUCUGAAUGCCACAAUUUGUAAUACGAAUGCAGUAAAUAACACAAUAAUUGUUGAUGGAGAAACCCAACUCGAUAAAAACUUUGGGAUUAAGUCAGUUACCUCUACUAUAAACAAUGAACCUUAAGUUAGAUGCUGCCUAGCCAACUCCACCCCUACUUGAAGGCUUAAUUACUCGUAUUAAAUAGGCUCCAAAAAACCAUAAGAUAUUGAGCAUUUUAUAUAACUGGGGAAUAUACUUGAGCUUAGGUCUAAUAAAUUAGGUCAAUUCAUGUUCAAGGUCACAUUACUAACAUGUAACUGUCAUCCCAAAUCUCACACACACGGUUGAGUCUCAUUUACAAGAUUAUAAUGUGUGUAGUACGGAUGGUACAUGAAAAUACCUAUACGCAAUACUCCAUAAAAACCUAAGCAAGCAAUGAAAAAUAUACUAUAGCUCAUCAAUUAUGCCCAUACAUGAUCACAACAUAGAGGUUCAAGAAUGUUAUAUAUGAUGCUGUAGUAAAAAUUUCCAUCUCUCUCUCUCUCUCUCUCUCUUUUUGUAUUUCUCAAGUUUUCAAAUUUUUAUUCUUUUUGUUUUUAAGACAUUAAUGUGCCACACAUAAAAUAAAAGGAAUGUCAAACAUACAAACAAAAAGUAAUGUGCAUGUGCCAAUGCAUACAGAAUAAAGAUGCACAUGCGUGAAACAACUACUUAAAAAGCAAACAAGCAAAUGUGAUGCAUGUAUAAAUCAAUGACACACAAUAAUAAAGUACAAGCAUGCACUUGAAUUAUCUAAUCAGUUAGGUUUAUAAAUGCUCUUACCUUUAAGAACACUGGGAUCUACAUCACAAUUUUAUAGACCACUCGUCUUUACCCAAACUUACCUAAUGGGAGAUCAAUUCCCAGAAAACUGUGUAACAAACUUGGUCAAUCGACUCCUUUGAUCAGUAAAGAAUCCAAUCUAACCAACAAAAUCCUGAUUUUUUAUUUCUAUUUGAGCUCUUAUUUCUAUGUCUGUUCAAGAAUGAUGACACCUAGGGCGUAUAUGUCCUAACUCACCACAGUGAAAACGUGUAAGGAUAAACUUAGGACUAAAGUUAUGUGAUCGUUGACGUCUAUCCUUAGGUUGAUGGGUCCUACGCUGUCUAGUAGGUCUCUGUCCUACAAAUUCCUUAUUCUUAGGUUCUGGGUUAGGCACAUGUUUAGACUGGUCGGCUGUGGGGACAAAAAUGGUCUUGGAAGUACUAGCAGCAUUAUGAUCUUUCUCAUUAUAUCCUAGACUUCCCUUAUUACCAGCCGACUUGCUCAAUCCUAAAGAUGUUGUCUAACUUUAACGAGCCACUAGAAAAGGCAAGAAGUUGAGACUUCAAAUACUCUAGAUCGCUAAUAAGGUUCUAUACUUGGAUUUCUAAUGUCUCUUUUUAGCGGUCAACUUAUUAACUUUCCUAGAGGACUUCUCAAUCUCACUAGUGAGAUACUUAACUUAAGUAUCUAAAGAUUCAUUCUUUAAUUUCAAUUCACUCAAGGUCGAGAUAGAUUCCUGAUGAUUAGCUAUAAGUUUUUUUUUCUCAAGCUCAAGUUUAUUGACCUUAGUAGCCUUAUGUAUAUCUUUCUCACUGCUAGAAUCUUCUUCAGAUUGCUCACCACUGUCUAUGUCCUCAUCUCUUUGACUUCCGUUGUCAGAUCCACUUAUAGUCUUCGCAGUGAAAGCAACGUAUUUUCCACUUUCCUCACAACCACUCUGAUUAUAUGAGCUAGACUCAUCAUCAGUGAGAGUAACAUUCAUGGCCUUAUCCUAAUUUCUACUACCGAUAGGGCAUUCACUCCUCAUAUAGCCAAAGCUUUGACACUUGUGGCAUCUCACAUAUUUAGAUCUUCUUCUAAAUUCACUUGGGCACAUCUGUGUCUUUUCUAAAGUUCUUUUUAUUCUUAAACAUUUUUCGGAAUUUUUUAGCAAGAUAAGCUAACUCCUCUUCAUUUGGUGAAUCUGAAUCAGAAGUUUCAUUCUGAUUAGUCCUCACAAUGUUCAAGGCCAAAUGCUUUUCUUUUAGAGGUUUAGCUAAGGUUAGCUCAUAAGUCUUGAUAGUUCCUACUAUCUUUUCAACCUUAAUAGAAUCUAUAUUCUUACACCCCUCUAUCAUCGUGAUUAUAGGCUUAAAUCACUCAGUUAAGAAUCUUAGGAUUUUUCUGACUAUCUUAGACUCCAAAAUUUUCUCACCUAAGUUGAAACUAGAAUUUACUAUGUCAUUUAGGCUUGCAUAAAAGACAAGAAGGGUCUCAUCAUCUCUCAUUCUAAUCUCCUUAAACCCAGUGGUCAGCAUCUACAAUUUAGAAUUUUUAUCAUCCUGAGUUCCCUCAUGUGUGGCCUGGAAAAUAUCCCAAUCCUCUUUAGCUACCUCACACAUGGACACAUGCAUAAACUCUUUAGGAGAAAUAGACAUAAACAAAGCAUCUGAGGCUUUACUGUUUCAGUUACACUCAUCUAAGUUGGUUUUAGUCCAAUUAGCAAUGGGAGUGGGAUCAUUACAUUAUCAGCCGUGGAACUUGGGGGCCUCCAACCAUUCACUACAUUUAACCAAAUCCAUUCAUCCAUAAAUUUAAGGAAAGCUCUCAUCCUAACUUUCCAAUACAUAUAAUUACUACCGUCAAAAUAGGACGGGACAGUCAAUGAACUACUCAUCUAGACAAAUUAAGGUCAGGACAUGAGAUUAGGCUCUAAUACCACUUGAAAAGCUCUAGAUACAACUUGACAGUCGUCGAAUCUUCUAGAAUAUUAUAGAUUAGUUUGAAUUUACGUGCGGAAUUACUUUAUUAAAAGCAACAAAUUACUUUUUAAUAGUUUCUAGAUGGUUAAACAUACAAGUCUAAUUUGUCAUUUGUUUUGAAUGCUGCAAUUUGUAGUACGAAAGUAGUAAAGAACAUAGUAAUUGUUGACUGAUAAACCCAACUGAUUAAAAAUUUAGGGAUCAAGCUAGUUACCUCCACAGUAGACAACGAAUAUUAUAGUUAGAUGUUGCCUAGCCAACUCUACUAAACUUUUCAAUCUACUUCCUGCAAUCUCCAAAAUCUACUGACCCCACCAGCUUCCCGAUCUUCUACAAUUGUCUCUUCCAAGUGGAUACCCAAGAAUUACCAAUUCUUGUUCUUCUUUCCGUGCUUGAAGUCCAACCUUCUCCAAUUUUCAGCAUCCUCUGAAGUUCUAAUUGAGAAAGUACAUUUCUUGUUGUACAAAGGAAGUGUGUGUUUUAGAUUCUGGAAUCUUGAUAGUUUUCCCAAAUCUAUGGUUGUAUGAUCUCAAGAAAAAAUGGAUUGAAUCAAGGGUUGAAUAUGUUCUUGGAUCUUCACAAGAUGAUAUGAAUGUAUUAUCAAUGAGAGACACAAUAAACAACCAUACCGAAAAUCGUACAAGGCUUAGGUAUUUAUAAUUUGAGGUGUUUAGGUAAUAUGGGUCAUUUUCCUACGUAUCAUUGUCGCUCGAGCGAAGGGAAAGCGAUAAGCGAGUGAAGGGUUUGUCGUUCGAGCGAAGUCUGAGUGAUAAGAGAAUGAUGAGCAUUCUGUUUUGUUGCUCGAGCAAUGUUUUGGCGAGAGGCGAGUGAAAUUGCAGUGACCUUUCUUUCCUUAUUCAUAGCUCAAAACCUAACCUACCUAACUCAUUGAUAAGAGUGUAAAAUAUUAUAUUUUCCCAUCUUAAUUAUUGCAUUUUUGUGAUUAUUUAAUACCAAAAUACACUCAUUGUACUUAUGUUUUGAUUCAUGUUGCAUUUUGGUAGAAAAGAUGAAAUUUAGAAGAAAAUAGCGAGAAAUUACCAAAAUGGAAGAAAGUGGAAGUUUAGAGACCAAGUUACAAAUAAUCUAAAGAUGAGACGGGCGAUGGAAUGAUGAUUCGAGAAAGCUAGGAGUCCAUUGGAUGCUAUUAGAAGUCAAAAGAAGUUAAAUAUGACCAUAAUAUUUUCACAAAUCAAAUUACAACCACAUAAGGAUUUUUCAGAUUUUCAACCAGAGAUUGAGAUCAACUUUUGACCUAGUAAACGUUCGAAUUUGGAAAGAGCUAUUUCUAGAAAAAUUGUAUCCCUUCAUGUUAGCUUUCUAGCUCACUUUGAAUUGCCUUAAUCAGAUAUUGGGGGAGAAUGUUAUGAUCAAAAUACUGAAAGUAGUUACACAGAAUAUUCUAGCCAAAAAUUUAGUUUCCUUAUUGGGUUCAACCUCUUUUGGAAACAACUUGGCACAUGGUUUUAAACCCUAGAUUGGACAAAACAUGCCUCUCUUCACCUCCAUAACAAUUUUAUCUCAUCGUGGGCUAAAGAAUUCGAUGGAGAACUAAAUUUCUAAGUGAAGCUACGAAGGAACUCAUUGGAUUUGACGACUUCACAUCAUUUAUUCAUAUAAUAUGCUUAUCAUUGUCGAAUAAUUCUGGGAUAUAGAUUUAUACCUUAUUAUACUUUUGAAGUUUGUUUAACUUUUAUUAAAUUGUUCAUGGAUUCAAUUAUGUUUUUUUCAUUGAAUGACGAAAAUAUUUGUUGGAUUUAAAUUUCAAUUGAUUUAUUGAUGUGAUUUGAUUAUUGUUUUAUGCUUGAAGUAUAUAAUCGUUUCUUGAAUCGUAUUUCAAUAAAUCAAAGAGGAAUUUGUUUUUAGGAAAUCUAAAUUCUAGAAUUACAAGUGAAACAAAUUAAUCUAGGUUACUCGUUUUAUGAGCUAGUUUUGAAAUUGAUUUAACUUUUACUAGAUUCUUCAUAGAUUCAAUCAUGUUUUUCUAUUGUGCAAUUGAACUAGUUGUUGAAUUUCAAUUUUAAUCAACUUCAUUGGUAGAUUAUUUACUGCCUUAUGCAUUGUGUAUAUGAUCGAUUCUUAAUCUUAAUCCAAUAAACAUGUGUGAGAAUGGUUUACAAAAGUCUAGAUCCUAGGAUUACAAUUGAAAUUUGAUUGAUCUUCAUUGUUAAAUCUUUCGAUUAGAGAGUUGGGAUGAAAACCUCUAAUUGAGCAAAAAAUCAUGAAUUAUUGAUGUUAAUGAUCCAAUCCAAUUGAAGAAAUUCGGAUGCUUCACUAAUCUUGCAUAUUGAUAAUUAAAUCUCAUUCCAUUUGAAAAUUUAUUUUUACAUAAUUCACGAAAUCCUAGUUCAAUAAAUCCUUUAAACAAUUCGUCCAUCUCCCUGUGGAAUCAACACCCCAAAGCUGUGCUAUAACUACCGCGUUAUUCUUUGGGCAUAAUCAAAUUUUUGUGCCGUUGCCGAGGAAACGGUACAAAUAAUUCAAGGAUUUUUUAGCAAAAGGGUGAUUUCAUUCCUCUUUUAGAUUUUUUUUAGUUAGUUUAAUUUUAUUAGUUUUCUGUUAUUUCUCUCAAAAUUCCAUAUUUUUUUGGUGCUUUAUGAACAGAGAUCGAGACGAGGGGGGACGAUUCAUUGCAAGGCCGCAACUAAUGUUUGAAUCUCUUCCUAACCCUCUCUUUAAUACUAAAUCUAUUGGUACACACAUCACAUCACAUAACACAAUGACAGAUAGUGAACACAAAGAGGCACCAACUAGAACUUUGCAUGAUUAUCUUUACCUCAAACGCACAUCCACACCAUCAUGCAUUAUAUUUUCACCAAAUAUGCCACGUAUGGACCUUAAAUCGAGAAUGAUCCAACUUUUUUCCACCUUUCACGGUCUUGAAAAUGAAAAUUCAUACGUGCAUAUUAGGAAAUUUGAAGAGGUGGUUGUAACUUUCCACAAUCAACGUGGUACAAUGGAUACAGUCAGGCUUUAAUUUUUUUCAUUUUCUCUUAAAGAAAGAGCAAAGAGCUGGCUGUAUUCAUUGCGACCACGUUUGAUUAGGACUUGGGUUGUAAUGACCCAAGCAUUCUUUGGCAAGUACUUUCUCCACUACAAAACAACUGCAUUGAAAAAGCAAAUCUCUUCUUUUACUCAAAAGGAGAGUGAAACUUUAUAUCAAGCAUGAGAAAUGUACAAAUAAUUGCAAUCCCUGUACCCCACCACGGUGAUGAAAGCUGGCGCAUUGUGAGUUAUUUUUAUGAGGGAUUAUUACCUAGGGAGCGUCAAUUUGUUGAAAUGAUGUGUAAUGGUGAAUUUUUGCAAAAAGAUCCAGAUGGGGCUAUAGACUACUUAGAUGACUUAGUUGAGAAAGCCCAUACCUGGACUGGACCUAGUGCCACUGAGAGUACUAAUAUGUCACGACCCAUUGGAAACCCGAGUAGCACAGAUAUUUAUCAUCUUAGGGAGGAAGAUAACCUUAGAGCAAAGGUAGAAACCUUCACUAGAGAACUUGAAAACCUGUGUGCUAAGGAUUUAAAAACCACUUGAUCUAUUUCCCGUGUUGAGUCUUUAAAGCCUUGUUUUGUAUGUGGAGGGAGUGAUCACCCAGCACAGGAGUGUGCCACUUAUGCCGAGAUGAGGGGACUUUAUGAGAAAUACUGUAAUGCUCUAGGCGUAUAUCAAAAACCUUAUACUCCUUACCCCGAGACUUACAACUCAGGGUGGCAGAAUCACCCCAACUUUAACUGGAAGUCUGAAAACCAACAACCUGUCCAAUCUAAUAGAGCUUACAAUGCAACCCCACGUCAAACCACAUCCUCUAGGAAUUCCUUAGAAGAUACUCUACAUGCAUUUAUAGUGGCACAAAGUAAAACUAAUCAGAAGUUUGAGACUAUGAUCACCCAUAUUGUUGAGGAAAACAAAGAGAUGAUGAGUCAUAUGUCUAAGUUGACCAAUGCCUUAGCUGUAGGGGAGCGGGAAAAAUUUCUAGCGUAAGCUCAAUUGAACCCUAGAGGACAACAUAUGGCACAAACCUCGGGCUUAGGAGAAAUCAUUCUUAAGGAAGUUAAUGCAAUAAUCACUCAAUUCGGUAAUGUUCUUGAACCAAUCUCCAAACCUAGGGAAGAUGAAAAGGACCCUAGCAAUUCAGAAGAGAGUACCCCUAGUGAGGAGGUAGUGAAAAAUAUAUCUAGAGUGCCUUUCCCUCAAGCUCUCAAGUCUACCUCAAAAUCUGUCGGCCAACAUAUUGAAAUCCUAGAGCAUCUAAAACAAAUAAAAAUCAAUCUACCUCUCCUACAUAUGAUCUCCCAAGUUCACACAUAUGCUAAAGUCCUAAAAGACUUGUGCACUGUGAAGAGGAAACAACAUUUUAAGAAAACUAUUUUCUUGACUGAACAUGUGAGUGUUGUAAUUGAGCAAAAGAUCCCACCAAAGUAUAAGGACCCUGGUUGUCCUAAUGUCUCUUGCAUCAUCAAGAACCAUGAGAUUUCACAAGUCCUUCUUGAUCAAGGGGCUAGUGUCAACAUCAUACUCUAUGAUAUUCACUUGUCAUUAGGGCUAGGAGAGAUGAAAUCUACAUCGGUAAGUUUAUAAUUGGCUGAUCGGUCCACUAUUAGGCCUGGAGAGUAGUUGAGGAUGUGUUGAUACAAGUUGACAAAUUUUACUACCCUGUUGAUUUCUUGAUUUUGGACCUAAAAAUUGAUGUGAAGAUUAACUCCAAAAUUCUCAUAAUUCUUGGUAGACAUUUUCUUACCACGGCUAAUGCUCUUAUUAAUUGCAAGAAUUGUCUAAUGAAACUAUCAUUUGGGAACAUGACCCUGAAUGUCAACAUCUUUCACAUUAUGAAGCAAUCUGAGGAGGAUGACAAUUGUCAUCAAACAUUCAUGAUUGAUGCACUCGUUCAGGAGAAAGCACCUGCGAUUAUUGACCGCGACCCUUUAAACUCUUUCAUUUCGAAUUCUAAAAUUUCGAUAGGAUAUGAUGACGGUGAAUAUGCUAAUAUCUGUGCUGCUUUUGAUGAUUUGUAGGAUUAUAGAGCAUCACCGGUGCUUAUCUCCAAUGAACUCAGUGCAAUGCAAGGAAGAUUGACAAUGCCCUGGUUGGAUGCGGGUGAAAGAAGCAAACAUUGGGGCAAGCCAACGAUAAUAAACAAGGCACUGCUUGGGAGGUAAUCCAAGGAGAGUUCUUUUCCCUUCUUUUACCUUAUCUUUUCAAUUGUUAGGUUUAUUUGCAUCACAUGUAUUAUUCACUGUAUUCUAGUUUAUUUUCAUUUUAUGUAUUACACUUUCCAUUGAGAACUUUCAUGCUUCUUUACUUCAGCUUAUAUUGAUUCACUUUGGUAUUCAGGUGACUUCUUUCCUUAUCUUGAUUUAGCAGACAUAUUUCUACAUUGAGGACCAUGCAACAUUUAGUUGGGGAGAGAGUUUCACGUAGAUUUUGUUGUUUUUGGCUUAGAUUUUGUUGACCGUUCUAAUUUAUUUUGUUUUUUUAAGUUCCUUAUUUGCUACAUGUUCAUGAUUUUGAAUGACAAGACAUGCCAUUGGGAGUUAAUGUUGUUUAUGAGAGUCUAGAUGUUGAGACACUUGCUGAAAUCUCUUUUCUACACACAAGCUUUGUGGUAAGAUAGUGAUUCAACACAUCUAGUUAGAGGAGUCUCUUAUUGAAGUUUUCAUGUGAGAGUUGGUGAGAAUUGAGAGCAAUACUACAUUACAAGGGUAAUAGGCGUUUAUUGGUUUUGUGAAUUGGAAACUCUUUUGAGAAUAAUGUUACACGAUUUGUGGUAUGAUAAUUGAUUACUUGAGAAAUGAUAACGGUCAAUUUAGGAUUGAAUUUUAACCUUUCAAGCCAAUUUUCUUUCAUGAUUAUAACCCCCAAGUAGUCAUUUUGAGUCAAUACACACACAUGUUUAACAUUUUUCUUCAUGCACCCGUGCUAUCCCUAUCCCUCCACAAUGGAGUGAGACCUAUACAUAUAUUUGCCCAUCGUUUCAAUUUUCAAGUGUAUAGUAGGUAUUGGAGGUUUAAUUGUGAAGAAAAGAAGCAAGGAAAUGCAAGAAUUCAUAAGUGGUUAAGUGAAGUGAUAAAAGUUAAAAGAAGAAGAAAGGAAGGUUAUUCCAACAAAAAAAUUAAAGAUUGAUUUUUGAGGUUGAAAGUAAUGAAGAAUGUGUUGAUAUAAUACAUUGAAAGGCUUGAUGCGACACUUAGCUAUGCGCUUGGAAGUGUUUGGAUCUUUAUAUCCAUCUUUUCAUAUAAUCCAACUUGCGCCACAUUACAAAUAUUUUGCAUUGGCUGUUUUGAUCCCAAGUAGAAUUGUGGAAUGAAGUUGAUGAAUUCUCAUUUAACAGUAUGCCUAUCAUGCGAUCAAUGUUUGCUUGUUGCUCAUUCAUAAAUGUUUAAGCAUCCAUAUUCUGAGUGUACAUCUUUCCCAACUCCAUAAAGAGAGGCCCUGUACUAAACACUUUGAUACUUGUGAGUUAUGAGGCUGGACCUUUAGCUCGAGACACGCUCGAUGUUGCAUGUGUUAGGGUUGGUGGUAAGAUGGCUAUGGCUUGACACACACUCACACAUUUGGCAAGUGUUUUUGAUAUCUUGAUGAUCAUAACAUUGUUAAGUUCUUGAGCUGUUGAGUUUGAAAAGAACAUGAAUUGCGGUUAAGUUGAAACUUAAUAAUUUCACUUGUAUCACAAUCUAAUAAUUCGUUUGUUUGUUCCACAUUGAAUUCUUAGGGACUAGCAAUAAGCAAGUCGAGAGGUGUGAUGAGAGUGUAAAAUAUAAUAUUUUCUCAUCUUAAUUAUUGCAUUCAUGUGAUUAUUUAAUACCAAAAUGCACUUAGAAGAAAUGAGCAAGAAGUGACCAACAUAGAAGAAAGUGAAAGUUUAGGGACCAAGUUGCAAAUAAUAUAAAGAUGAGACGGGCAAUGGAAUUAUGAUUAAAGAAAGCUAGGAGUCCACUGGGUGUAAUUAGAAGUCAAACGAAGUGAAAUAUGACCAUAAUAUUUUCACAAAUCAAAUUACAACCGCAUAAGGAUUUUUCAGAUUUUCAGCCAUCAACUUUUGACAUAAUAAAUGUUCGAAUUUGGAAAGAGCUAGUUCUAAUAAAAUUGUAGCCUUUCAUGUUAGCUUUCUGACGCACUUUGAAUUACCUUAAUCGGAUAUCGAGAGAGAAAGUUAUGGUCAAAAUAAUGAAAGUAGUCACACAGAAUAUUCUAGCCAAAAAAUUAGUUUCCUUAUUCGAUUCAACUUCUUUUGGAAACAACUAUGCACAUUGUUUUAAGUCCUAGAUUGGACAGAACACGCCUUUCUUCACCUCCAUAAUAAUUUUAUCUCAUCUUGGGCUAAAGAAUUUGAUGGAGAAAUAAAUUCCUAGAUGAAGCUACAAAGGAACUCAUUGGAUUUGACGACUUCACAUCAUUUAUUCAUGUAACGUGCUUAUCAUUGUCGAAUAAUUCUGAGAUAUAGAUUUCUGCCUUAUUAUACUUUUGAAGUUUGUUUAACUUUUAUUCAAUUGUUCAUGGAUUCAAUUAUGUUUUUUCAAUUGAAUGACGAAAAUAUUUGUUGGAUUUAAACUUCAAUUGAUUUAUUGAUGUGAUUUGAUUACUGUCUUAUGCUUGAGGUAUAUAAUCGUUUCUUAAAUUGUAUUUCAAUAAAUCAAAGAGGAAUUUGUUUUUAGGAAGUCUAAAUUCUAGGAUUACAAGUUAAACAAAUUGAUCUAGGCUUCUCGUUUUAUGAGCUAGUUUCGAAAUUGAUUUAACUUUUACUAGAUUCUUCAUAGAAUCAAUCAUAUUUUUUCUAUUGUAGAAUUGAACUAAUUGUUGAAUUUCAAUUUCAAUCAAUUUUAUUGGUGGAUUAUUUACUGCCUUAUGCGUUGUGUAUAUGGUCGAUUCUUAAUCUUAGUCCAAUAAACAUGUAUGGGAAUGAUUUACAAAAGUCUAGAUCAUAGGAUUACAAUUGAAAUUCGAUUGAUCUUUAUCAUUAAAUCUUCCGAUUAGAGAGUUGGAAUGAAAACCUCUAAUUGAGCAAAAAAUCAUGAAUUAUUGAUAUUGAUGAUCCAAUCCAAUUGAAAUAAUUCGGACGCUUCACUAAUCUCGCAUACUGAUAAUUAAAUAUUAUUCCAAUCAACAAAUUAUUUUCACAUAAUUUAUGAAAUCCUAGUUCGAUAAAUUCUUUAAAUAAUUCGUCCAUCUCCCUGUGGAAUCGACAUCUCAAAGUUGUGCUACAACUAUCGCGUUAUUCUUUGGGCGUAAUCACUCAUCUAUACAAAAUUGCACUGAACUCCUUAACUUUUGACAUGUUCAAUUUAGUCCUUUUUGUUCGCAGAAUCGCUAAUUACAUUAAACUUUAUAGUUUGAAAUCAUUAUUACACAAACAAAGAUUUUUUUUUUUUUUUUCAAUCCACGUCUUGAAGUAUGCAUUUAACCAUAUAGCUUGUACUCUACUUUAGCUGGGGAUUAUGCAACCGUUGCUUGUUUCUUUGAUGCCUAGGAAAAUAUUCAUAAAUUUAGUGUGAAUGCAUAGCUUGAUACGUUUCUCAUAUCGUCUACUGAUCAUGCCCAGUCACUGUUUGAAUAUCCAAGUAGUUUUGAGUUAGAAGUAGAUAAAUACCAUAUGCUAGUCUUUUGUACUCUUUAGGUAUCUCGGUAUCCAUUUUGCCUCUCUAUAGUGACAAUGCAUGAAUCUUGAAAGUAGGCUAUUUGUACACAUUAUGCUGGCUUUGUAGCUAUAAGAUAGAAAACACUUCUAAUAAGACUUCAAAAUUGCGAGUUACUUGAUGUUGGAGUACUGUCUUUUUUAUUUACCCUCAUUUAAGCUCAAUUUUUAACAAAAAAAAAAAAAAGAGUUGUAAUGGUGAGUUUUUGGAGAUUGUAUAGUUAAAAAGUAGGAAAAAGUUUUGAACUUAAAUGCAAAAUAUUUUAUUGAAAGAACAUGUGGUUGAAAAUGAGUUUGAGGAAAAACGAAUUUUUAGAUAAUGGGGGCUUAUUGUGGCAGCGGAAGCCUUCAACAUUAUUUCUAUUUUUCUAUUAUUUUAUUAAUUAAUUUUGCUUAAUGCCUAAGGCCUGCUUGGGAGUUUUAUUUCACCGGUUUUCGAUGGUACCGUUUAUGAGGGGAAAAUUGGUACUUAUUAAUUUAUUUUUUUAAGUGGUUUAAAAACCACACAAAAUCGAUGUAGUAUAAUUUUAACUGAUUCUCUCAACCCAUCAUAUCGGUGGGUUUUGACCGACUCUCAUAUUCUCAUCAAAUUUUACCAUUUAUAAAAUAAUUAUCUCCAAGCAAUAUAUUUUUCUUCAAAACUAACUUAUAAAUAAAAAUAUAUUAACUAAAUUUUAUUUAUGAGCAAAAAAAGUUAAAUUAUAAUUAUAAAAUAUAAAAUAUGACUUAUAUGGAGUUGGGCCCAAUUGAAUUGAUGAAAGGGGCCCGUGUGCCCUAUUUGAGAAGAAUUAUUCUUGACGGAAAUGGGUGUCGGUCCAAUUGGGGGAGAAAGGUAAAGAGACAUUAAUGAGUGAUUGGUUUAAAAGAAGAAUGAUAAACAGACUUGCGGAGAAAAAUAGGGAAGAAAAAAUAGAGUGAUGUGUCAACAAUUUGUUGAUUUUUUUAACUUUUCAAUUAUGUAUCGACACGUGUCAACCUAUUUUUAACCCCUUUUCCACCUAUUUCUGUAGCAUCUUUCGGUCUAAAAAGGGUCACAUAAAAGUGGAGUCUUCAAUUUUCACGUGCAACCGUCCUUGGAUGUCAGAAUCUUGAAUCAAUUCAAAUUGGACUGCAACAGUCAAAUAAUCUAUAAAAAUGGGUAAAAAGGUUGAGCAAACAGGCGAAUAGUUAUUUCGAGAGUAAAACUGUUUAUCUUUCCUCCCUUGAUUAAGUUCAGUCUUUUACAUCAUCAAACUAUGUCGACCGAGGAGAAAAGCAUCAAGCCCACAAUCCCACUAAAACUUCUGGUAGACGAGACUAAAGCCCGAGUCCUCGCCGCAGAAGCCACUAGUGAUUUCGUCAAUGUUUUGCUCAGUUUCCUCACACUUCCACUGGGAACUGUUGUUCGUGUCACGAAAAGCCAUCCCGGUUCCAUUGGCUGCAUGAACAACUUGUACCAAAGCAUUGAACAGCUUAGUGCGGACAAUUUCUGCACAGUGACAUGUAAAUCAAUACUGUUAAGCCCAAGAAACCCUCUUGCUCUUGUUUGCAAGAAUCUUAAACUGAAUAUCGAUGACACAAGCAAUGGGAAAUGCUUUUCUUGUCAUUAUUGCGGUAGGAAGAGUCAUUAUCCUCGCACGAAGUGUUUUUGUGGAUGCAUAGCCAACACAGAGAUAUCUGAGGGCGGGUCUCAACCCGUGGAUAAAGAACAAUUUGUUAAAAGAAUGACCAUGUGUGUGAUUACAGAUGAUCUGCAGUUGCUACCUGGAAAUCCAAUUUCUCUGGUGCAGUUGCUAUGUAAUUUGGGUUUCAGCGAUGUUGAUCAGGUUGAGGAGUUGUCCGUUGAUGUUGGAUUAGAGGAGGUAAUUUAGCCCCUGUUUUAUGCCCAUUACAUAAAAAUGUAAAUGGGGAAAUAUUAUUUGUUAGAAAAAAUGAGUGAUUGAAAAAGAAGAAAAAAUUUUCGAUUUACGUGUAAUAUUAUGUUAAGAAAGAUUGUGUGAUUGAAAAUAUGAGAAAAAAAUAGAAUAGAAUAUAAUGAAAUUUAAUUUAAUGAAGAAUAAACAGGGGCCUAAUCUAUUAACUAAAAGUAACCUUUCUUUCUAUAUUUUUGUCAUAACGCAGCUCAGUUUGUUUAUAAACUUUUUGCAAGUGUAUAUGUGUUAUGACGUAUGGAAGUUGUUUAUUUAACUUUCAUGUUCAUCAUAUUGUUUGAACACGUCUUUGAGCCUGAGUCUGGUUUUCUCUAAUACCGUUGGAUUCUUAUGUGACUGGUCUUUCUUUCGCUGUGUUCUUUAAGGUUUCUAAGUUGCUUAAGCAUUCUUUGGUAUCAAAGACUCCUCUGACAGAUGUAUUCUUGGGGAAAAGGAAACUUGCAAAUAUUUCGAAACCCAUGGAUCCAAGAAAUUCACCUACACCAAGCAGUGAAAAUCGAACAUCGCCAAAUCAUACUGAAUUCCGGGUUAAGUUAAUUUUAAGCAAGUCGCAAAACAAGAUAUUGGGGUUGGUAGCAAGGGAAGAUUUUAUCGAUUUUCUCUUCAGCUUUUGUACAAUUCCGCUUGGAUCAGUGGUAAAGCUUUUGGACUUGAACUCCAGAGUAGGAUGUGUUGAUAACUUCUACAGAACAGUAGAGAGCUUGGACUCGGAGUGGUUUGCUAUUUCCAAGAGUGAAAUAAUAAAUGCUGGAGUUCUGAAACAAUACAAGUGCAAAAAUCAUCCAUUGCAAAUUCCUGAUGCUAAAAAUAUAUUAUACCUUCUUGACCCAAGGAGCCCAACUGGUAAAGUUGAUUGCUUUGGUAGAUUUAUGGAAGCACCACACUUGUUUGUAGUGUCAGAUAACUUGGUAGUGACACCACUAUCUUCUCCGUCGAGUAUUAGCUUCCUAAAAGAACUAAAUGUACCUCUCAAUGAUAUUGAAGAGCAGGAAGAAACUAU